AAUAGGUUUGUUUCUAUUGUGAUGGGAAUAAACUAAUUAUUUUAUAACUGAAUUUUUAAAUAAUAUUAUAAAAAUGAUGAAAAGGUAAACAUAAUAUUUUUAAUGAGGAAUAUAAUUGAAAAAAGUAUUACAUCAAAACUAUAUUAUCCUUUUUAUAUAUAGGUGAAAAGAUUAUUGUUGUUGUUUAGAUUGUUAUUGUUAUUGUUUUUGUUGUUGCUGCUGUUACUACUACUGUUAGUCUCAAGAUGAGCACUAACAGGUCUGUCUUUCCGCUUUUAUCGAUUAAAAUAAUAUAAGUUGUAAAUUCAUCCGAUGCUUUAUAAAAUCUGUUAUUUGAUUGGAAAGGAAUGAUAAAAUCGUAAAAUAAAAGUUUAAUAAGGGUAAAAUUGAAAGAAAAAUGUUACAACAAGACUUAGUAUCUUUUCAUAUAAAAAUAUAGAUAUUUCAAUAAGUUAUUUUUCAAUCAAAUAAAAUUGUUUAUAUAAUGUGUAAAAUUUAAAAGGAAAAUUGUUUUAACGGUUGUUUUCUUUAUCUGAAUUUUUACAUUUACAUUCAAUUUCUGUCCCCAAGUUAUUCAAUUGUUUGAUUUUGACCCUUUAGUUUCAAUAGCGUCAUUUGCUAGUUUCAUGCACAUUGUAAAGCUCACAAAAUUACCAUUCUCAUCUGAGUUUUGCUUCCAAGAUCAUCCACUAGUUAACUGAUAAAAAAAAUGCAGAGAAAGAACUCAUGGAUAGAGAUUUGUUAUACUUGUAUGUUAAUCUUUGAAUACAAAUAAUUGAUUUCUUUAUGAACAGGCAACACUAUGAGUUGUUUGAUUAGCACUUCAACCUUUUACUUGUUUUGUUAUUCAAAGUUGAUGCAAAACACCAAGAUUACGGAAGACACAGAUACAAAACCAUAAGCAUAACCCUUAAUGAUGGGCGAUACUCGUAUAUGAAAAAUAUUGUUGUUUUCUUUUGAAGUGUUAUGUAAAAAAAUUUAAUCUUUGUUUUUCUUUUUAUGGGUUUCAAUCAUUCUUAUAUAUUUUUUUUAUUUUAUAAAAUUUUGAUCUUUGACUUUUUUUAAUGAAGUUUUAAUCUUUAUGUUUUUUUUAAUGUUUCUAGGUUUGUCGUUAAAGAGGGAGCUAAUGGCCGACGUGGGAGGUGGAAUCGGGGAGGUUAUGAUAAUCACAUGCGUUGUCGUUACUGUUGGUUCACUGGGGGAGCUCGGGGAUCGUCCACAUCGAGACUAGAACAACCACACAAGCAAGAGAGACACCACACUCUUACCCAAAAUCUUAAGACAAUGGGUUUAUGGGUCCUCUUACUUAUAACGUGUUCAACCUUUACUCUUUUAUCCGUUGUGUGACAUAUAACUCACUUGCACACAACAACAGUUACUUCCAAUGAUACAAGUGGAAAGAAAAUGAAUGGUUAUCAAUCCAACCAUAAUUUUAAUGGAUAGAUCUAAACCAAUCUAUUAACAAAUUUGUUUUCAUUAUUUAAAUUGACUCCGAAAAAUACACGAUGUCUAAAAAUGACCCUAUAAAAUGAAAAAUAGAUAUCUAAUUUGAGAUUUUUUCUUAUUUUUAAUCCUGUAAUAUACGCGUGGUCUAAAAAAAAUGAUCUAGAGAGAUUGAAUUUUUCAUGAAUUUUAUCAGGCAUCUUUAGGAUGUUAAAACAUGGCUUUACACACAAAAAAUUAAAUUUUUUCGAAUAGUGACAAAUUUAUUAUGAAUUUUUUAAACAAUUAAUAUUUAAUUUGUAUCUCGUUAAAAACUUUAAAAUUUUAUGGUGAAGGUUCUUAUUAUAUUUUAAUCAUAACAAAAUUGCAAUUUCGCACGUUUUGGUCUAAAAAUUAAAAAAACAAAUCGAAACAUUUUUAAAAUGCUACGAAUUUUUGCAGAUCCUUUUUAUGUAUUUUUAUAGAUGUCUCUGCAAAAAAUCAACUCAAAAUUAGAUUUUUAGGUUGGAGUUUUUUUUUUUUUUUGAGUUUUUAAUGCUAUAAAAUUUCAUAAAUUCGUCUUUAGUUUAAAAAUUCUAAUUUUUUGUGUAAUGUCGUAUUUUAACGUCCUAAACAUGCCUGAAAAAAAUCAUGAAAAAAUUCAACCUCUAAGUAGCUUUUUUGGACUUCAACUAUAUUACAGAGAAAAAAAUAAUAAAAAUCUCAAAUUACAGAGUUAGAAUAUAUGUUUUUUAUUUUUCAGCAUCAUUUUUCAGAUUUCAUAUAUAUUGCAUGGUCAAUUUCAAUAAUUAAACUUUUUUUAUGGAUGAAUUGAAUACAUAUUAUGGUGGAUGUAUAUGGAUUUGAGGAUGUUAGGCUCUAUUAUGAUGGUGGAUGGACAAAAAAUAAAACUAAUUUGUUUGAAAAGUCUAUCAUUAGAUUUAAUAGUCGUGGAAAUCCAAUAGUGAUAUUUAAAUACAACAAGUGAACUAAUUGUGGACUGCCUGGUAGCCCACCAUGAAUGCAACCCGCAGCUAUAUUGGAAAAUCCUCUUCUCGCAAGUAAAAAUAGAGUCAACGUUGAUUUCAGCUAAAGAAAGAAAAUGCAGUCAUUGGCUCUCUAAGAUGCUCUCAAUUUGGUCCAUAGGCAUAGAUAUAUUUCAAUUUGAUAAUCACCUAUAUAAAAUGUUUCUCAAAUUCAUCUUUGUGGGAAUGUUUCUCAACUAUUGUGUUCACCGCAGCCUUGUGGUCACAACCCCGAAUAUAACAACCUUUCUUUUUGGCCUAAACUCAAAUUCGAAACUGCAUCGAAAUGCUUUGCCUUUAUCUACGAAAGGAACUUUGGGUGUGAAUAAAAGAGGAAGAAGAGAGAGAAACAUUUCUCUCACUUCGACCCCCUCUAAGUUCUCAUUAUAUUAAAGAGAACGAAAUAGAUUUGAUGUGGUCAAACCAUGAUAAAAUUUAGAAGGUUGAUCUAAUCUAAUGAUAAAAAAAUAGUAUAACUUGCACCAAUACUUUUAAGCGGUGCAAAUUAUAAGGAUUCGUGAGUUAGAAUCUUCUACUCGAUUUUUUCCUUUUUUAAUGAACUAGUUCUAUGUGACCGAUCAUCUCCGAUCACUGGAGGGUCCAGUGGAAUCCCAAUCAUUGAUUUGGUCAUGACUGACAUGGAAUGGUCAUGACUGACAUUGAACCUCCUCUUGUGUAGUAUUCACGGGAGAGAAUCCCAGUCCCAAGUUCUAUAUGAGCCAAAAAAAAUUCUCGCUAACAUGAUCUCUCAAUAAAUUAAAGAUGUGAUAUUAUCUACUGCACUUAAGGUAUUAUGGCUAUAAAUUAUCUAACAAACAAGAUUCUAAUGCAGUAUAGUAAAACUCUAAAAAAAAUAACAAUUUCAAUGAACUUUAGCAGAAUAUAGUUAAGACUGCCUCGAUGAUGAUCCAUUAUAGUACGAUAAUUACAUUUAGUAACAAUUAAAAAUUGUAAGUAAAUCAAGAAAAAUGUUACUAGUUAAAUUUUGUAACACUUGAACAAUUGUUAGGUAAAGCUCGUGUUACUAAAAAGAUUUAGUUACAUUUUAUAGUACUAUCUGUAUCAAUCAAAAAGUGUCGCAAUGUUACAUUAUUAGAACACUUUUUGUAUCACUAGUAACAAUUAAAAAGUGUUACGUUUAUAAUUUUUGAGAAGUUGUAAAAAGUGUCGCAAACUGUCUCAACUAAAAAAUUUUGAAUCUAUCAAAUUUGUCUUUGCUUAGACUUCAUUCAUAUUUGAAUUAACCAAUAUUAGAUACAAGUUUUAAUAACUAGUUUGAAUUACAUACUCUAGAUUUCCCCCCUUCAUUGUUCUUAUUCUUGCAUAAUGAAAAUAACUAUGCAACACAAUUUGAAUGACAUACUGAAACGAUUACAAGUUUUCAUCCAAUGUAACAUGUACUCUAUAAAAUAUCACAUUGGUCUGUUCUUAUUCUUCCAACCAUAUUCUCAGCCUUCCAUUUUGUUUUUUGCUUGAUUCUUUUUGCUCCAAGUUGUUGACGCUCUACAAAUUUAUUUUCCUUAUCUUUCUUCUUCAAAUCUUCUCGCAUCCUUUUAUAGUAUUCAACUUUUUGUCUUGCCAAAAUAAACAAUAUAAUACAUACUUAAGCAGUAAUCACAUAUAAACUAUAAGAUAGUCAUAGGUAGUAACAUAGAAAAACUUGCAAUGAUAUCAACAAUCAAAAAGCAAUAUACAAUAGCAAAACCAAAUUAAUAUUGUUGAGCCAAAAAAACAAAACUAUACUUAGAACUGAGCAACAAAACAUAACACUCCAAAACCAAAAGAAACAAUAAUACCAUCCUAAUUAGUGGUAGUAUCAACAUGAAGCAGAAGGAUGGAACUGAAGCAUCCAAAGAUAUUAACAUCAAAUUUUUAUCUAAAAGAAUAAGACAAUUUAAAAAUUAACAUUAUUCAAACUGUGAAGCAUUCCACCAAUCCUGGAGUCAGCUUAUUCAAUCAAAUACACCAAAAGAAUAAGCAAAGAUAAUUCAUACAAAAGAAUAUUAUUAGAAAUUGAAUUCAAUAACACAAAAUCAAUUAAAUUUGGGAUAAACUUAAUACAUUUUUUCUUAAGUUUCUCAUAUUUUGCCUUGCGCUUAGCUGCUUAUCCAAAUAAUGUUGUUUCUCCUGAUUAAAUAAUAUAAUUAAUUUUAAAAGACAAAUGUUACUUAAGGAGAUCAUAUUGCAUGUGUUGUAAUAUACUAGAGGACUUACUUCAUUACUCAUGGAGUUCCAUGCUUUAACGACCAUUUUAUUAACAUCGAAAUUUUGAUCUACUUCUUUAAAAUUUUCGCCAAACUCAUCCCUAAAAUAUAAUUUUUUUACUUAAUAAUAAACAACAUAAAAAUAAAAAAUAUAUUAAACAAAGAAGAUUUACCAUAAAAGAAAAAAAGAAUUCGGCAGAUUCUCAAGUAUAUCAUGAUCCUUCUCAACUUUGAAUUUUUUGGCCUUGUGUUCUUUUGGCUUGGUACCUUGGUAUUUAGUUUAAAAAUAUAAAGUGAGUAUUUGAUUUAGCUACCCAAAUCAAAUGGAACUUUGCUUCCUAGUCAUGGUCUCCUAGGUCCACCAAUGUUGUGUUCACGAGGAUUGGUUUUGCCAUCCAAAAAAGUCUAGCGGCGCAGUUUGUUGCCUGUUUGCCUUCUACUCAAGUGUAAAUAAUGGUUUAUAUAUAUAUGAAAAGUACGUGAGUGAUUUAACAAAGUGAAACAAUGCACUAUGAAAACUAGUUUGAAUUACCCUUCUCAUGUAGCUUUUUAUGAGCAUUUUCUUCUUUUCCUUCUUUGGUCUCAACAAAAGAACGAGCAUCAGCUUGCACAUCAUUUGUCUUUUGAAUGCUAAACAAGGUCGGAAACACUAUUUUCGGGUAACAAUGGCGUAUCUGAGUUAAAACAAUGUUUAACUGCCUAAUAACUCUCCUUUAAAAUCUUCUAACUACUCUUUUAAUUUCACUUCCAUUUCUUUUUGCAAUCUUUCUUGCAGAAACUGUAUCUCAAUGUGAGCAUUCCUUUUAACUUCCUCAAUAGUUUUUUGGAUUUCAACUUGAGGCUUAGAUCCCCAUAAGUCAGAAGCUACAACACCUUUUCCAUAGGUGCGCACUCGGUCUUUUCCCAAGACUUGGGACAAUAUAUCUUCUCGAGAUGAGUUUUGUUCUGAUGCAUUUGGAAGUAAAGAUAGAAAUUCCUCAAGCUCUGACUGAUAAUCAAAAGUCGACGAUAUUUGAGAUCCAACAAAUGUUCAUUUCUCUCGGUGUCGCCGUAUACUGGAUUUCCCCUCUUCGGCUUAUGUGUCAUAAUGUACAUUUCCACACGAGAGGGUUCUCUUUUAUCAUGAUUAUUCGUCGUCUAUUUAUACAAAAAUAUAACAUUAGAUCGAUCGCUAAGUGCACGAUUCUCUUUUAAAAGCAAAAGAUAAUGUUGCUUUGCCACAGCAAGACAAAAACUGCAUAACACAAAAUAACAGUUUUACCUCUUCAUCACGUAUUUCUGCAUGAGUUUUUGUUCCGGUGGUAUGUAUGCUUGUAAACUUUGCUCCACUUCUUUUAUUCCUCUCGCUACAUAUCUAUAAAAUAAAAAUGUUUCAUACGACUAAGAUAAUAAUAAUCAUAAUAUAUGCACACAUGAUAAUAAGAAUCUCACCUCAGUCAUUUUUUAUUUCCAAAACUUAACAAGAACCUUCCACUAUUCAAGUGGAACAAUUGAUGGCCUAUUUCUUAGAUUAUAGAACUGGGUCACGGGUACAAACCAUGUCAAUUUACGAACCGGGUCAAAUUUGACCAUAUAAAAAAUGGACAUAAUCCUUUACAAUCAUGCGAUUUUGCAUGAAUUUUACAAUUUUAAUGUGAUUUUACUAUGAUUUUUUCUGUUUCGGAGUUUCGUUAUGAAUUUGAAUUGUUGAAGGUGAAUAAAGUCGCAAAAUGCUGAAUAUUAAGAUUUAAGUUGCGAUUUUAACAACAACAAUAACGAUAGCCUUUGUUGUUGCAACCAUUUCAGAUUGUUGAGGUUCUCAUUCAUUAUUAACCUGCACUAUUUCUAAUUUAUAGUUACCUUUACUCUUGAAACUCAGAUUGUAUCAUAGAGCAACAUAGGAUGAGGAGAUAAAAUUUUAAAAUAUAUUCACACCAAUUAAAUAGACUAAAGCUCCCUUAUAAGGAAGAACAAAUAUAGAAGCUACAUUAUUCCAUAAUGUAAUAAAACGUCAACACUUCUAGAAACAAUUCAAAUAAUACAUUACCACUUUAAUUUAACAAAAAACAAUUAAUGAUAGGAUAUUUGACUAAUCAGAUUCUGCUGAUCAUACAUGGGAGAUUGAGUGAUAUAUGAUUUGUAAGUGUUGCAUGCUGCCACAUAAGAUUCUUGUGUUUCUUGUCAAAUUUCUCUCAUAACAAUAAGCAUUUUCCUUACAAUAAUAUUCCUCUACUCCUCUAUCACAUAGAUCAUAUUUUUACCAGGCUUAGAUAGAGUUCUCCAAUAGUAGGUUGAGUAAAUGAUAUCUGAAAACAAUGAAAAUUGCAAACCUAUGUACAAAAGUAUUGGAAGGAAAGAAAAUAUUGAAAUGCAACUAGGAAUCCACAUCGAACCAUGGUAGAAGGUUAUGAAGAAGGAACUGCUAAGUGCUACCAUCAUGCUUGUUAUGGAGAUGAAUAAUGUGAUCAAUCCAAAUAUUAGCUUUAAAGGUAGUGAUUUAUAGAAGUCACGCUCUCCAUAACGCGAGACAAGAAUAGACAAGAAAAUCAAUAUGGCUGUCGAAGAUGAAAUGAACGCAGAUGCAUCUGAUAUUGCAAACCCCAAAAAUGAUGGUUUCUUCAAAAAGUUUGGUUUUCCUGUGUUAUCGAUACCACCUGGUAAAGUAACUGCAGCAGCGAACACUCCGGUAGCAAUGACUGUUGAAAUUAGCAUACACGACUCCGCAGUUUUUUUCAUCCAAGACUCUGCAUCUUCCCUUAGUUUUUCAUGCUCAUUUGAGAACAGUUCUUCUGCAGUCACGCCUUUGGAGUUUUUCGACUUAAUCUGUGCGGGCAGCAUUAUCUUCUUUACAUUCUAUCAUAUGAAAAUGUAUAUAUGUUAGAUAAAAUAUAGAAAUGUAAAAAUAAAUUAGUUAAAUUUAUUAAGGACGGUAGGAUAAUUGUGUAUGCACACAAGGGAUGCACUAUACCUCAAACCAUAAUAACUCGACACACAUUUGAAAAGCUGCACCAGAAACCAAUUCAAGUUGACCUUGUGGUGCUAAUUUUCCAGCUAAGUGCAAUAAACUGUUUCCUUCAUCGUCUUCAAAUGUCACUAUGAUAUCCUUUAUAUGCCCUAUUUGAUGUAUGACAUUGAAGAUACUGGCAUGCCGAUGCAAAACAGCUAUGUGUAAUAUAGUUCGAUUUUCGCAAUCCACCUCCCAUAUCAAGCUUGGAUGGGCACUAAUAAGCUCCGAUAAGAACCCAAAAUUUCCAAUUUCAGCAGCAUCAAAUAUUAGUUGAGAAGGUUUAUUUAUGAUUUCAUUUAACUCCUUCUUUGAUGAGUAGUAUCUUUCUAGAAUCGUGGUCCAGAGAAAUUUAACCAAUUGGAAAACCAUAUGAUUUUUCAGGCCUGCGAUACAAAAUUUGGUUACUAAGUUAAUGAAACCAAUGUAAAUAAAUUAAUAAAGUUAAUGUAAGGUUUACCAGGAUUGGUGAUGAUGUGAUUAUGAUCAUGUUCUGGACAAUGACAAGAAGAAUCCAAUGGCAUUUGAUUUUUAGCCAAGAGAUGUAAAGCUGUUUUUUCAUUCUCAUCACGUGCAAAAGCUAGUUCUUUCUUGUCUCUUACCAUUUUGAAGGCCAAGUCUGCAAUUGAAAAAUAAUACUAUGAUCAAUAUUUUGCCAUCAAUAAGUUGUGUUAAAAUCCCAUAUGUUUUACUGUGGACUGAUGAUGGAAAAUCAAUCAAAACUUUGAUGACGGCUAUAUUGGGAAAAAUCCAUGUUCCAAAUCGGAUAGAUAAGACUCUUGAAAAGAGUAUAUAAAGAGGAGUGUGUUAAGAGUCCCACAUUGGAUAGGUGACAGCCUGACAAUGUGUUUAUAAGUGAGGGCAAUCCUAACCUCACAAGUUGGUUUUGUAAGGAUGAGUUAGUCCCCAAUUUCAUUAGGUUAAAGUUGCCACUUUUAAUUAAAAAUUUAGAGACCUCAACGUCCUUGCAACUGAAACUAUGAUUUUGAUCAGUGUUGAUUCAACAAAACAAAUAUCAAAUGAAUAUAAGUUGUGUAUUAAAGCAUUAAUACUUGCUUAACUUGUUUUUUUUGUCAAAGUGACACCGAUCAAUUGAGCAUCGGUACCCUAUAGUUAGUAAUAGAACACAUAAACUACUCAAAAUUCUCUAUCUAGAGACCAUUUUAAUCGUUGAACUGUUGGAAUCUCUGAAACAAUCUAUUUAAGGACCAAAUUAUUUAAUUGGUCAGUAAAUCGGUCUCUAAUUAUUUUGUUUUCACACUUGCAGUUUUCAAUAUUUAAGAUGAAAGAAAUUACACAGGAAUGAAAUGCAAGUGAGCAAUGAGUUGUGCGGUUAAUCCUUUCUGAAUGACAAAAUCAAUGCUCUGAGAAACUACAUUAAAGACCGAUUUGUGAAAUGUCGCCAAACCAUUAGUCGCAAAUGUUCUAAUGUUAGCAAUGGGUUGGACAAUUCCGAUCUUUGAAUCGGUCACUAUAUGACAAUUUUUUCUGAUGAAUUACAACCGUUAGUAAUACUUACCAUAGAUGCCUGUGUAGAUACAAGCAAAGAACAAUAACUCCCAGUCCUUCUCUUCAAAGCAAUGUAUGGUUUCAUCAUAUAGAUGCCAUGUCAUUUUGUAUCUUCCUUGCAAAGCAGCAUACUGAAUAGGAGCACAUCCUUUUGCACCCUUUAUAAUUGGUAACUUGGGGUUUAUUUUCAGCAUUAAGUCAACAAUUUUCAUGUUUCCAGCUGCAGCAGCAAUAAAAAAAGCAGUGUUUCCGUUCAUAUCUUGCAAUGUUAUAUCAUUGUCAUCAAGCAUCUUCAAUAGCUCCUUCACAAAGUGAAUAUGGUUUGCACCUGCAGCAAUAUGCAGUAGAGUAGGAUACCCAUUUGUUAUGGCAGCAUUUUUUAGCUUAUUCUCUUUGUCUAUAAUGCGCUUAGCUGCUGGCCAGUUUCCAUUCAGAGCAUGCUUGUGAAUGGGAACACAAUGCUUGAGAAACCCUUUAUUUGCAUCAUCACCUAAAACAGAGAGUAUUUCUAUUGCGUUAACAUUAAACCCAUCUACAUAUCUACAUGUACAAAUAUUAUUCAUCAACACUUUUAGGUUUCAAAUUUUCCUAUUUAUAAUCUGGAUUGGCUGAACCACCUGUUAUAAUAUUAGGGUAGUUAGUAUUCUCCUUGGUACAUUGACACGAUUGAUUUGAAGAAUUCAAGAAAUUAAUCCCAUUUUGAGCGUAUAUUAAUUAGUACUUGUACUCUAUUCCAUUAUUUCUAAUAAUAUUUUUUUUAAAAGUAAAAUAAAAUCAGAAACUAUAAUCUUUCAAAAGUUUGGCAACCUUUAAUCUUUGCUAUGAUAAGGAAGCAAGGCUAAGAGAAUUAUGACAAAUCAGGACACCUUUAUUGCUUGAAUUUAUAAAGCAUGAUAUUAGUACCCGCAUCGUAAGUUCUUCAAAUCAUAAGAUUAUGCAUGAUAAACUUCAAAUCACCUUUAUGGUGGGUAUUUUGUUUGUAGUGCCUAUCGAUUAUGCAUGAACGAUUUCCUUGAUACAACUCAACUUAAGGUGCAAGGAUCUUGGGAAUUAAUCUGGAAACUCAAGAUGCAACUAAAAGUGAAACUUUAUUUGGCGAGUGUGUAGGAAUUGUCUCCCAACACGUAUGAGACUUAAAGAUAAAGAAGUAAACAAAUUAUAUUACAAGUGCUUUGUGUAGUCUGCAUGACGAAUAUAACUUCCAUCUCUAUUUUAGAUGUUCUAGCAGUUGUAAUAUUUGGAGUAUGUGGGAAGCUUAUCCUUCCGUAUGCGAUUUAAUCAAUCAAGGACAUGAGAGCGCUAGUACUAUUUUUAUCAUACUAAAGGUGUAACAAGAUGAUGAUGGUUUUGUUGUAUUUUGUGGAGUAUCUAGAAGCAAAGAAAUAAUUAAGUUUGUAAUGAGGUGGUUGACAUGCAAUCCUUUGUUUUGGAACAAAAACAAAAAAAACAUGUUGCAUGAUUGGAAAGCAGCUAGAAAAAUUCGGAAGUACUGUCCAAUGCACAUAAGCCUAACUGAAGUUAUAAAUGGAGGGAGCCAAGUGAAGGAUGCUUCAAAUGCAACAUCGAUGAAUCCUUUUCAAAAUGAUCUAACAAGGUUGGAAUAGGUAUGCUUAUUAUAGAUGGGCAAGGCACCUUUGUUUUAGAUAAAACAAAAUGGUUUAGCCAUGUCUCUGAAGUACGUGUUGGAGAAGCUCUUGGAAUAUUAUCUGCUUUAGAAUGGGUUCAUGAACUUAACUUGGGAUCUGUUGAUUUUGAGCUUGCUGCAAAGAGAGUGGUUGAUAGCUUUUUGUCCCCAAAACAUGAUGUUAUAAAGUUUGGGAUCCUUAUUCAAAAUUGUAAAGCUUUCUUUAGGCAUUAUUUUAAAAACUCUGGUAUAGAGUUUGUGCAGAGAUAAGCAAAUAGGUUUCUCAUGGUUUAGUUAAGGUGACCACAUUAGCAGCUAGUUUUUUGAUAUUGGUAGAAAUAUCAGAUUGUAUUGAACAUAUUUUGAUUAAUGAAAUGUUAUGGGUCUGUUUGGAAAACCCAAAAAAAGAGCUUUUAGCUUUUAGCUUUUAGCUUAUAGCUUAUAAGCUCGUUUGACAAAAAAAGCUCUGUUUGGUAAAACUUUUUCACCAUGAGCUUAUAGCUUAUUUCACGAGCUUAUAAGCUAUUUUUCAGAAGCUAUUCCAAGUAGCGUUUGAGCUUAUAGCUUAUAACUUCUCACUUUUUCUUCAAAUUUUACCCUUAUUAUUUCAUUUAAAUUGUAUUUUUAUCCAUUAUAAUUUUUAUAAUAAGCUACGUAAUAAAGACUACUAUCCCUUUAUUCCAAUUUUUGUAUAUAUAUCAGCUGGCCUUUUUUUUUUUUGAAAAAAUAUAUACCUUCGUUUUUUUUUUACAAAACAAAAUACUAUUAUUCUAUUAGUGUUACUUUUUUUUUUUUGAGGUAAGUGUUAUUUUCUUUAUUCUCUGUUAUUAUUAUUACUCUAUUAGUGCUACCUUUUUUUUGUUUUUGAGGUAAAUGUUAUUUUCUUUAUAAAGUACAAACACUUAAAUGAUAAUAAAAUAUAAGAUAAAAUUUUAGUGAAUAAAAUUUAAUUUAAUUUAUAAUACAUAGGAUAUAUUAAAUUAAUAAAUUUAAAGUAUGUUUUUAAAGAAAAAUUAGUAUGGAAGUUAGGAAAAUAUAUUGGAUAAAAUGGAAUUCUAUUUGUUCUAAAACGGAGUAUGAUGGUUUGGGGGUCCGGCGGUUGAGGGAGUUAAUUAAUAUGGCAUUGCUAGGUAAAUGGUGUUGGAGGUUGAAGAAGGAGCGUGGGCGUAUGGGGAGGAAGGGGGGAAACAUUUGCGAAGAUGGUGGUGGAGGAUAGGUUCGGUGGGAUAAUUUAAUUAGCACUAGAAAUGGUGUCGGUGUGGGUGUAGGAAGGUGGUUUGAUGAUAAAUGUAGGUCAGAGGUGAGAGCCGGUGUUUCAACCUUAUUUUGGUGGGAUCAGUUGCUACACAAAGGGGUGUUUAAGGAUAUAUUUAGUUGCUUUUUAAUCUUUGUGAUAAUAAAUUGGCACGAUGGCUGAGAUGAAGCAGUUAGUGUGGCGUGAGGGUGGUAAGGCUUGGAAAUGGAGGAGGAGAUUGUGGGCAUGGGAGGACGAUCUGUUGGGAGAGGGCCAUUCCUUGUUGAAUUCUGCUCAUUUGCAUAAAAGUAUGAAUGAUAGGUUGCUUUGGUAUUUGCAUGCUACAAAAAAAUAUAAUGUUAGUAGUGCGUGGAAUUUUCUAACAUUAACGGAUCAGCAAAUUAUUGAUGAAAAGGCUCCAUUAAUUUGGCAUAAGGAUUUUCCUCUCAAAGUUUGUCUCUUCGUGCGGCGGUUACUCCGUAAUCGUAUUCCGAAAAAUGGCAACCUUAUUAGGCGAGGUGAGCUCACGGUUAUUGAUCAGCUUUAUGUUGGAGGGUGUGGUAAAUCAGAAGACGUAGAUCAUCUUUUCCUUCAUUGUGAUUUUUAUCGUCAAAUUUGGAAUGUUGUUUACAACUGGUUCGACUUUAUCUUGGUUAAUUUGUCUCGUAUUUCAUAUCAUUUGAUUCAUUUUGUUGCCUUGGGAGGCUAUUCUAAAAAGUUACGCGCUGUUCUUAAAUUGGUUUGGUUCUUGAUUGUUUGCAUUAUCUAGCGAGAAAGAAAUACUUGUAUUUUUAAGCAAAAAGAGGAUGUGCUUCAUCUCUUACUCGACAAAAUUAAAAUUCAAUCUUUUCGGUGGCUGAAGAUGAAUCAUGUCAGCUUAACUUUCAACUACCACAUGUGGUGGUUGAACCCUCUUUUGUGCUUGGAUUGAGCUUUGUAUCUUCGGUUUCUUGCUUUUUAAGUGAUUUUUUGCCCUAUUUUAAUCUAAUUGUUACUUUUUUUCUUUACACUUUCUCUGUCACUCCUUGUGCGGAGAAGAUAAAAUUGCUCAUUUAAUAUAAUUCCAUUUUAACUUCUUAAAAAAAAUAUUAACAAAAAAGUAAAUAAAAUCGGAGAGACUAAGUGCCUUGAGAGAGAACCAUACUUGUUUCCUUUAAAAAGUCAAGGUUAGGUCUGUUGUAUGUUGCUGAUGCACUCCUUUGAACAACUGGUACUGGAGAUGUAGAACUGACAUCAGAUGUUGUCACUUCCCUGUCAAAGACAAUAUAUAUUACAUUAACAAUUAAUGUGAGAGCAUAUUGUUAAAACAAGUAUUUAAUAUUAAUAUAUUUUGCCUUUAAAAAAAAAACAUUAAUAUAUUUUGUCAAAAAAUCAUUAAUAUAUUCUUCCCUGAGAGAAAAAAAAAACAUUAAUACUAUAUGCUAUGUAAAUACAAACCAGUUAUUGAACAAAAAUUGAAUUUUAAGUUGUCAGACGGCAAAGGAAGUAUGAAAACUUAACUUGUCAAGCUUCUCCCAUACUUCCUUUGCCGUCUGACAACUUAAAAUUCUCUUAAGAUCAUCUGGAUUUAUGGCACAACAUAAAAUAUUUUUAGCUUUUACUUCUGGUUCCAUGAUCUUCCUAUCUUCAUCAUUGAAUUCAUCUAUCGUCUUCAGCACUUCUUCACCAUUUAUUAUUUUUUUUGGAAGUUUUGGUCCAUUCUCAAUCACAAGCCAUACUUCAAAGUCAACAGAUUGUAUGAAUAUCUUCAUAAGUUCCCUCCACUCAGUUAAAUUUGUACCAUCAAAGUAUGGUGGCUUUGAAAUGGAUCUUCCUUCAACCAUCGUUGCGUUCGUAACUUUUUUAGUUGUUAGUACCUGCAAUAUAUGUUUCCUUGUUAGAUCCAAAAUUUUGUUAUUUUAACUAAAACUUCUUCCGUUUUAAAAUGAGUGUUGUUUUAACAAAAAAAAAAAUUAAAAUAAACGCCACUUGCACUUUUCAAUGCAGAAUUAUUAUUUUAUUUUCAAUUGUACCCUUUAAUUAAUUGAGCGUACACUGCUUCCAAAUCAUUACACCAAUAGUAAAUAAGGCUAAUUUAGUAAAAUUGUCAUGUCUUUUGACAUUUUUAUUAUUAUAGUUUUUUAAUUUGUGUGUAAAAAUUUUAAACAACAUUCAUUUUAAAAUGGAUGCAGUGUAAUUUUAGCUUAAAAAAUCUGGCAUAUAUGAUGGAGCAGAUAUUAGAAGUUACCCUUCUAAUUACAACCAAUGAUUGGAGAUUGAAUUUGUGAGGAGGGCUUCGAGAAAUUAGGGUUUAACCACACUAGCAAAAUGAACGGUUUCCAAUUAAGCCAGUUGAACAUGCAAGUAGUGUUUAAAAGACUGAUGACAACUUGAAAGUGUCAUUUAAUUGAAAGGGGUGCAAGUGGUGCUAGGAGGUGAGAGGGUUGUAGCACAAAACGGGAGCCCAAAGUAGGACUAUUGUAUGUGCUCUUACCAUCUUUUGAGUAUAAGGUUUAUAGAAUAAUAUGAGACUUUUUUAAUCGAGAGUUUUAUUCUGUGAAAGUACUUUAAUUUAAAGUUUAUUAAACGAAAUUUUGGAUCAUCUCCUUCACAUCAUUCUCUCUUUCUCCCUCCUUUACUCAAGUUGUAUCUAUCUCUAUCUAAAUUUUAUAGAGAAGAAAUGAGAAGGCGAGACUGAGGUGAAGGAAAAGAUAACUCAAUUUUUUUUUUUUACGAAAAGUCAAGAUAACUCAAUUUUGUCUCAUACCCUUAUCUUGUUUGUCUAGUUAAAAUUCUAUCAUGAAAUGAGGUUUUUUUUUUUUUUUUUUAUUUCUUUUCAUACUCUAAGUCUUCAUCUAUGAUACCCUUCAACUUAGGAGGAACGCUCAAGAGCUCCAAACAAGCAAAACUACCAUUGUGAGCUCAAUUUGUCAAGCAGUCAACAUUACAAAGACAUGUACUAUCACCAAGGAAUAAAAUUCAAUAGCAUCUUUUUAGCCAAUCUCAAACCAAGAAUAAAGCCCUAGAAUUAUGCCAACACAGAAGUACCAUGAUUGAGGUUGCAUAAAUAAGUCUCCUUUUUCGUCUUCAUAUCCUCAUUAAAAAAACUAUUGUAAAUAUAUUAAAAUAUAAUUAUUUUAAAAUAUUAUAUAUUAUUUAAAUUACAUAAAUUAAUCUUAGAGUAUGAAUAUAUAAAUUAUUUUAAAUAUUAUUUGUUGUUUUGUCACAGGUGAUUUUGUAACUUUUAUAGUAAUUUUAUAAACAUCGAAAUUAUAAAUAAAGGUGACAAACUUAAAUAAAAAAUAAUAUUAAUUCUUAAAAAAUCUUAUAGUUGUCAAAUAUUUUUUAAGAAUCAUAAAUAAUAAGGUUGAUUUAACAUUUUAAAUGGUUAGAAAAUAAACAUGUGAAAAAAUCUAAAUAUACUAAAAUUAAAUAAAAUUCAUAUUAUAGAUUUAUUAAUGAAAUAUUUUAAAUUCAUAUUAAAUAAAAAAUAUAUAUUUAAAAUUGUGAAUGAAUUUGAAUUUAUAAUUUAACUUUGAAGAGAGACUUGUAAAAACAAGUUGCUUGGAGAUAAAUUACUCCAAGGACCACAUAAUAGUGGAUGUCCCAAUAACAUGUCUACCUUUUAUGACUAUAUAGUACGAUUCCUUUAAAAACGACAAUAUAGUACCGUAAAGAAGAAGAAAUAUCAAUGGCUAAAAGAAAAAGAGGAAAAAUGUACGUUUCUUUUUUUAAGUGUUGUCUGUUGCUUAAUUUGUUGUUUAUAUUUAAUUGUUGUCUUGACUGUUUAAAAAGAUAAUUUGUCAAUUAUAUAGUUUUUCAACUUCUCAUACUUAUACAUUUUUAAUGAACUAAUUAAUGUUAGGUAUUUGAAAAUUUAAAUAUUUUUUAAAACGAAGUUUGUAUUUUUGUUAUGUGCAAAUUUAAACUUCUAUGAAACAGAACCUUGAUACAUAUAAUAACGUGUUUAUGAAGAAUUAAAAUUUUAUAAAUAAAAUCAGUAACAAUUUAAAAAAUAACACGUAAAAAAAUUGAAGAACAAUUUUCAUGGAAAAACAAAAAAACUCCAAGAAAUCUUUUUAAAAAAAAAAAGAAAGAAAGAGUGGAAGAGAGAGGGUUCAUCAAUUUUAUUAUAAAGAUAAAAUGUGUGCAAAACAAUAGAUAUUUAUAUUAAAAAAAUAGGAAUUUAUUGGAGAGAAUGGAAGUGUCUCACAAUUGUUUGUUAUGGGGAAAAAAGAUGACAAUAUUGAAAGAAUUUAUUGAUAAAUUAAAGUGAUAGUACAAUAGAAUGAAGAAAAAAAAAACUCAAAAAUUCACAUCUCAAUUCAAGUAUACUGUUGAAAAAUAAUACUUAAAAAAAACAAAAGGGGUAAAACAGAAAAGAAGAACAAUUCAUUCACAAAUUUAACAUUCAUAGAAAAUAUUAAAAUAAAAAUUUGACAAAUAUUAAAUUUUGAAAUGUUUUCGUUGUAGUGAAUAUAAUUUUUGAUUGAAUGAUGAAAAAGUUUAAUCGUGUUAUGAAGUAAGUUGAAAUAUAUAUAUAUAUAUUUGUGUGUGUGCGUGCGUGUGGGGUUUAGGAUUUAGGGUUAUAGAACUAAAACUAUAAUUUCAUCUAUAGAAAAAGUUUAGUAAACAAAUAUAUGGUUCAAAAUUUAUAUAAAAUGCACAAAUUUUUGUUGAUCCAGCUUUUUCUUAUAUAUAGAGCAGUAAAAUAAAUAUAUUUCAUAUGAGACGAAAUUGCACCAUGGUAUUUAGAGAGUCUUUACAUUAGAAUGGUGCAGAAUAAAAAAUCUAGGAUGUGUAACAUACUAUCAUAGGUGUAUUUUUGUCAGAAUUGAAGGUGUGCAGCAUGAUUCUUUUUGUUCUAUCUAUCUAGUUUUGUGUUCAUGUAGCUUGGUGGUGUACGUAGUGGUGUUUGUAUCAUAACUUUUCAAACUGCUUCUAUCAUUAUCACCCUCAAAGUAUUUCUUGUGCUUUAUAAUGUGUUUUUAAAACAAAAUUCUUUUUGCUUAUUAAAAUAAAUAAUGAAAAAAGUGAUACUAUUUAUACUACUUUCUUUUCAUAUAACCAUGACAACAAGGAUCAAACAUUUCGUUUUCUACUAUUUAUACUAAAAUUCUUUUUGUCUAUUAAAAAAGAAACUAAAAUGAGAAAAGUAAUUCUUUUUCUACUUUCAGAACUUGGAGUUGAAUUCGAACACUUCUUAAGUAGCUAGGUAUGAAAUUUUCCUUCUACUAUAUAAGUAGUAGUAUUAUUCUUACCCUUUAGCUAAAUAGCAUAAACACUAUACCUGGAUAUACGUAAAGAUGACUUUAACUUUCUCCUACACUUGCCUGCACAAAUAUCAACCAAUAAUAUGUUAAGUACUAUAUGUAGUUUUGACUUCUGAGAAAUAUUAUAAAAAUAAAAUUAAUAAUAAAUAAAUGUACAGGGAAAUUACUCAGAGUUUUUAGUAUUAUAUAAUAGAUGGAUUCUUGUUGUUGGUGUGGUGUGGCUCAACAAAACAAUAUAUGGAAGUAUAUAUUCAAAUUGAAAUCUUAAUCUUCCUUUUCAAAUUGAAAUCAUAAUGCAAAGGGAAAUUAAGGGAAGAGUAAGGAAAUAUUGAGUUUUGAAAGAUGUCGCUGGCUGAAAUUAUUUACACACUACUUAUAAGGAGAAAAAAUGACAUAGAGAAAAAGAAGAUCGUGAUAAAGGAAGGAAAGAGGAAGGAACGGUGUAGAAAAAUGGUGUAUCCCUUUAGCAAAAAGAAAUGCAAGUACCGACCAUUAUUAUUAUUUUGGAGUGGGCUUCGGCCAAUAUCGCCGGCUCAAUAUACAGCGGCCCAAUAACCACUACUACAGGUAGGAAAGAUCAUUGAUUUUCUGACUUCAAAAACGUCAUAUUGACACAUGAAAAUUUCUUAAAAGCCCCUAGCGGUAGUUAACUACCAUUUGUCAAACCGGCAGCAAUAACUGUCGCUGGCCUCAGUGUUUGUGUCGUGUCCAAUCUCCGUGUUUGUAUCCCUGCUUCAUAGCUUUUAGUUUUCUACCUCAUGUUAAAAACAAAAUCAACAAUCAAUAUUUACAAUACAAAUCAGCUCAAUUGACUAACGAUCAUAAUUUGAAAAAAUCACACAAUUCAAUGUAAUUGAAUUUGUCGGUGUCGUGUUAGUGUCAGAUACUGACACAUGUUUGACACCAAGACAGACGUAAUCUAAAGAGUGUUCAUUCUUAAUAGACUAAAAGCUUUCUUGCAAUGAUUUGAAUUAUGUAAUUGGUUAACUUGUGAUGGACUCUACAAUGUAAACUUUGGGUUCCAUGAAAUGGACAAUUAGUGUAAAGUCAUGCCUCAGUUAAAAAUCACGUAUGGACUCAAAUAGAAGUUCCAAUACACUCUUUCUGGCCAAUUUCUUAAGUCUUCUCUAAGUGAAUUGUCGAAGUCAAGUCAACUACCUAUAGAGUGGUUCCUAUUUUUUCUUUUAAUCAUUCACUUUCAUAGAUUUAAAAGUACAGUAUUUGUAAAUUACUUUUAAUCAUUAGUAUUAGUUCUGCCACUUUUUUCCUUUGUUUUCUAGAUGAAGCAGUUGUCCGUUUCUUACCUUGAGUAAAUUUAUAAGGGUCAAAUUACAUAAAAUAAGUAUAUUUUAAAGAAUUUUUAGUAAGGGUGUCAAUGUACAGAAUGACAUUUGUCUAAUUUCUAUUCUAUGGUUUUAGUUGACCAAAAUAAAGGAAGAUCAGUUUUAGAGUUGUUUAGAUACAUUUUGAAAAUUUUGUAAUUUAGACUCAUUUUGUAAUUUAUGAUAUGUCCCUUAAUUAAUUUUAGUCGUAAUUUAGACAUAUUUUGAUUUUUAAUUUUUCUGGUCCAGUUCAAUUUUGUCGAAAAGCUCAACGAAAUUCUUCAGAUUUAGGGAGCUAUUGGUUUGGAAAUUGACUACGGAAUUCCUUGUAUGAAAGUAAGUAUUUCUCUACAUGUCUGCUAUAUUCUAUGAUUUUCACACUUUACCUUUGUUAUUUUGUAUUGAAAAUGCUGAACCUAUCUUGCAUUUUGACAUAUUUUCUAUGACCUAUCUACAUAUUAUUUAUCUCAACUAGAUAUCAAUAAGUCUACUGAAUCCUAUAUAUAUAUCCCAUUAUAGGACUACGACCCUAAAAUUGGGAAGAUCAUUCAUAGAUAGAACGCAAUUUGGUUGUCUUUUUCUUUGUUUCUCAAGUAAUUUAUAGUUCUAACUUAAUUUAUUUAUUUAUUUCUAUUUUAAGUACUUUCCUGACCACAAAUGCCGCACCUACUCUAAAGAUAAGUUAAUUGAGGUAAAGGAGGAUUGGGCUACCUAUGUGGUGCAUGAUGUUUUCGGUGAGAUUUUGUUGUCCUUUUCCUUUUCUUUGUUUUUUAAUUUUAUUUCAAUAUGGUGUACCAUUUUUAUGAUAAAUAAAAACAAAUUUGGUAAGCAUAAAAAAAGUAAUCUAUCAGCUAUAAUGAUACACAACUCAAGAAAAUAAAGACAUGUGUAAUAAUUUCAUAUAAACAUAUGACUUAAAUGUUUGACUUUUGAAAAUUGAUGAUUAUAUUUUUUAUGUUAUUAGUAGUUGUUACAUUGAGAUGUUAAGUUGGUUUUAGUUAAUAUUUUGCUUAGAAACUAUCGAGAAGAGAAAAGAGUACAUGGUUGUUCGAAAUAACUAUUUAGUUGACCUUUUCGAUUUUACCAAACUGUUUGGACAAUUCAGUUUGUUUGAUUUGGUAAAUGGAAAAAACUGAACCAUUAACAAGCCUAACUAUAUAUAUAUAUAUAUAUAUAUAUAUAUAUAUAUAUAUAUAUAUAUAUAUAUAUAUAUAUAUUGAGCUGAUUUUUUGAAUUUACAAUACAUAAUUAAUAUUUCUUCCAUGAAACAGGAAACUAAGAAGUUGUUAUUCUUUCUAACUAGGUGAUUGUAUAUGUGAUUCUUAUUGAUUUAGAAGGUUGAAAGUGUUGGUGUUAAUUUGCGGCUACGAGGGAUGGACAAUUUGGAUUUUUUUUUGGUUCAACUGUUGUUGCGUGUAGGUUGGAAAGUGCAAUUGGUUGGGGAAGUUGUUACUAGUUGUUGUUGUUUUGUCCUUGUUUUUUGAUUUAGGUGGUAAUUCUUUAGUUGAGGAAAUAUAAGUAAUAUUUGUUUGAAAUUUUGUUUUUAGCAUAGUUGGUUUUGUCCAGAGAUUUGACUAUGUAAUGCUCUCUUCCUCAUGAUAUUUGUAGACAAGAUUUUUGGAUUAAUACUGAUUAUUUGAUUAUAUUACAUAUGCAAUGAGUAAUUGAAAUAUUAUUUGGUAUGGGAAAUUGAAUGUAGUUUUUUUUUUACCAUUGUUUUUAAAAUUCUCAAUUUGAAAAGAUCAUGGCUGCAUUUGAGUUACAACCAAUCAUCAUAAUGAUUUUGUACGCUUUAAAAAGUGGUUUUUUAAUAGCUCUUUGUAAAGAAAAGGCUAUUAAAAAUACACAUCCUAUGAUAGCAAUUUUGAAGGAAACACUAUUAAACACAACAUGAAUCCUAUUCAAUAGACCUAUUUGACAGCGUUAUAAUGAUAUUAUUACAAUAACGCUUUAAAGAAAUGCUAUUAAAAACUCUGUUUAUAAUAGCGUUUUAGAAGCGCUAUUAAAUAGGAUGCACUUACAAUAGCGGCGCAUUUAACAGCACUUUUAAGUACUAUUAAAAUAGCACUUUUAAGUGCUAUUAAAGGUGAAAAAAGUGAUAUUAAACAUCUUUUUGGCGUAGUGUUAUUAUUUUAUAUCUUUCAAAUCUGUGUUAUAAUAAUUUUAGGCUAAAAUAUGUUUUUGGUCCCUGCAAAUAGUUCUCAACCACACCAAUCCAACCUUCAGCCUUUCUUCUUCAAUCCAAACCCAAUUUUUUGUUUAAUUUUCUGGGUUUGUCACCAUUCUUCCUCUUCUCAUGUUCUUCGCAUAUUAUUUAACAACACAAAAACAACACUAACAUGAUUGAAUUCGCACUCGAGAUACGAUUCGAUAUGGGUUCGUUUGAUGGCAGUCAUAGCAAAGAGAAAAAGUGAUACGUGACCGAUUAGGACCGUCUUGAAAACAGGUAACUUGAGAAAGGAAAAGUUCUCACAAUAGAGAAAGUUCUCACAAUAAAAGUUCUCACAAUAGAGAAAACUCAAAUAUAUUAAUCUUCAAAUUGUGAUUUGAGAAUUACAUGAGCUUCUUAUUUAUAGCCUAGGCUUGGAAUACUAGAGAUAAAUUCCCACUACCAUGCAUUUAUCAAAUACAUUGAUAAGUGCAUGUUUAUUACCUAGAAAAUAGGCACUAACAUGAUUAAAAUUCCCACUAGCCACUAUAAUAACUUAGAGCAUUACUUUGAAGCAUUUGGAGAGGCUAGGAGAAUACAAAAGACCACUAUAAUAUUGAUUAACUUUUUAGUACCGGUUAUACUGAAAUCCUUUUUUUUUUCUACUUGUGACCCAUACUAAGAAAAAGAAACUUUUUGAUCGUCAAGCUAAUGACAUUAAAAGAGCGCUGCGUGGGAGGCAACCGUGGGGCAACCCACGGGUUAAUGUCAUUUCUUUUGUUUGUGUUUUUCAGAAUAUUAAAAGAGAAGCCGCAUAAAGGAUAUGUUUCAGAAUCAACAAAUUCCACAUACAAUAUGAUGAUCCUCCAGAACAAAGACUGAAUAUUGUGAGCUUUCUCUCGCAACUUUAUCUUUUUGAGUCAUUGAGUACAAUGUUUUGUCCAAGCAUGUGGGAGUCAAUAAAGUAUCUUGUUUAAAGUUUAAGUGUCUAGUGUUGUAAAGUGUCUGUUUUUGAAUUCCCUUUUAUUUAAGUUUUUUCUUGUUUUGUAAGUGAAGGGCGAUGUAUAAGCAACAUGUCCGUUUGUGUUUUGUAAUCUGAUAUAAAAAAAAAAAAAAAAAAAAAAAAGUUUCUUCCAAAAGGCUAUUUAAGGAUGAUUAUGUGCAUGAAAACAAAAAUCUUGUGCUUUGAUUGUUCUUGCUAUACCCGCAUCAGUUUCAAUGUGAAAUUCUCUCUUUAAGAAAAGCACAAAGUUGCGGUCUUUAAGUAAUUGUGUAGGUAGGUGUUUUAAAUAGCACGUUCUAACUUCAAUGGUAAAUUAAUCCUCAAAAAUUUUAAGAGUAAAAGUAGUAUAAGUUAGUGUGAGGGAACAAAAGGUCAAAUCAAGGUGACCAAGUGCUCAAAACUGAUUGGUCACCAAGACAUUAAAUAAAUGAACAAGUACCUAAAACUGGUUGAUUAUCAUAUAUAUAUAUAUAUAUAUAUAUAUAUAUAUAUAUAUAUAUCAUUGACUUGGAUUGGUAGGAGCUGCCCUCACGGGCCUCCUAGGGAAGAUUUGGUUAACCUAAAAACUAAUGUAGCUUCUGUAAUUCCUUCUUUCUAAAGAUUGUCAAAUGAUAAAAAAUAAUUUCCACCUCUCUUAUAUAAAAUGAAGAAAGGAUUUUUCUCGGUUAGUUUAAUGUUGAGGUUAGAACCUGUUUCCUCAUAAUAUCUCUUACAUAGGCUCAAGAAAAAGCUGGACUACACACACACACUCACUUGAAACUUGUUGUUGGGUUGAAUAGGUUCAUAAGAAGCACUUGAGUUUUUGAUAAGUGUACGCUGAAAACAAAGCCUUGGAGGAAACAAAAGUUUUUAAAUUUAUGUUGUUCAUGUUGUUUUUGUUGUCAUAUGUUGCUAAAGUUCUUUGCCUUUUACUUGAGGACAAGCAAAUAUUCAAGCAUGGUGAAGUUUGAUAAGUCGUAAUUUAGAUAGUUUUUAAGUGUUUAUUUUAAUAGAAUUAUGUUUGUUUAAGUUUCUUUUUAGAACUAUUUUACUCCAAAUUUGUUCGUUUUAUUUUCAGGAUCACAAAUGAUGGAUGAUCAAGUCUUUGAGCAAAAGAAUGGAUUAAAAUGCAUGAUUGAAGCUUGUUUGAGAAGAAAGCUAAAAAGAGGGAAAUUCUGCCAAUCUAUCGCGCAAGGUCGUGCCUACCAUUUCACUGACCGUGUGCGAUCCCAACCUCCAAAAUAUAGUGAAGACCGCCACGAUGAUGAUAGCCUUUGUUGUUGCAACCAUCUCAGCUUGUUGAGGUUCUCAUUCAUUUUUAACCUGCACUAUUUCUAAUUUAGUUAUAUGCUCUUGAAAUUCAGAUUGUAUCAUAGAACAAUAUAGGAUGAGGAGAUAAAAGUUAAAUAUACAUUCAAACCAUGAACAUAAGGAAGAGCUACAUUAUUCUAUAAUGUUAUCUAACAUCAACACUUUUAGAAACACUUCAAAUAAUACAUUACCACUUUAAUUUUAGAAAAAACAAUUAAUAAGAUUCUGCUGACCAUACAUGAAAGAUUGAGUGAUUAUAAUUUGUAAGUGUUGCAUGCUGCCACAUAAGAUUCUUGUGUUUCUUGUCAAACUUCUCUCAUAACAAUAACCAUUUUCCUUGCAAUAAUAUUCCUCUACUCCUCUAUCACACAUAAAUCAUAUUUUUACCAGGUUUAAACAGAGUCCUCCAAUAGUAGGUUGAGUAAAUGAUAUCUGAAAACAAUGAAAAUUGCAAACCUAUGUACAAAAGUAUUGGGAGGAAAGAAAAUAUUGAAAUGCAACUAGGAAUCCACAUCGAACCAUGGUAGUAUGUUAUGAAGAAGGAACUGCUAAGUGCUAUCAUCAUGCUUGUUAUGGAGAUGAAUAAUGUGAUCAAUCCAAAUAUUAGCUUUAAAGGCAGUGAUUUAUAGAAAUCGCGCUCUCCAUAACGCGAGACAAGAAUAGACAAGAAAAUCAAUAUGGCGGUCGAAGAUGAAAUGAAUGCAGAUGCAUCUGAUGUUGCAAAUACCAAGAAUGGUGUUUUCGUCAACUAGUUUGGUUUUCCGGUGUCAUCGGUACCACCUGGUAAAGUAACUGCAGCAGCGAACACUCCGGUAGCAAUGACUGUUGAAAUUAGCAUACAUGACUCCGCAGUUUUUUUCAUCCAAGACUCUGCAUCCUCCCUUAGUUUUGCAUGCUCAUUUGAGAAUAACUCUUGUGCAGUCAAGCGUUCAGAGUUUUUCAACUUUAUUUGUGCUGGCAACAUUAUCUUCUUUACAUUCUAUCAUAUGAAAAUGUAUAUAUGUUAGAUAAAAUAUAGAUAAGUAAAAAUAAAUUAGAGUUAAAUUUAUUAAGUAGGAUAAUUGUGUAUGCACACAAGGAAUAAAACCUUGUAGAGUUGUCAAAUUAGAGUUAAAUGUAUAUAUGUUAGAUAUAAAAAUAAAUUAGAGAUAAAUUUAUUAAGUAAAGUAGGAUAAUUCUGUAUGCAAACAAUGAGUAAAACCCUGUAGAGUUGUCAAAUUAGUCCAGGAGUACGUUCCUUUUUUUUGGUCCGUAGACAAAGUGGUAAAAACUACUCAAACUCACACACACCUCGGGUUCAAAUCUGGAUGAAGACGUCUCACUUUAACUCAUAAAGAUAUGUAAAAGAAAAUGCUUGAUUUUUUUUUUUACAUAUUAUAAAUGGGUUGCAUUAUACCUCAAACCAUAAUAACUCAAGGCACAUUUGAAAAGCUGCUCCAGAAACCAAUUCAAGUUGACCUCGUGGUGCUAAUUUUGCAGCCAAGUGCAAUAAAGUGUUUCCUUUAUCAUCAACAUAUGUCGCUAUGAUAUCCUUUAUGUGCCCUAUUUGAUGUACGACAUUGAAGAUACUAGCAUGCCGAUGCAAAACAGCUAUGUGUAAUAUCGUUCGAUUUUCGCCAUCCACCUCCCAUAUCAAGCUUGGAUAGCACUAAUAAGCUCCGAUAAAAACCAAAAAUUUCCAACUUCAGCAGCAUCAAAUAUUAGUUGAGAAGGUUCAUUUAUGAUUUCAUUUAACUCCUUUGAUGAGUAGUGUCUGUCUAGAAUCGUGGUCCAAAGAAAUUUAACGAAUUGAAAAACCAUAUGAUUUUUCAGGCCUGCAAUACAAAAUUUGGUUAUUAAGUUAAUGAAACCAAUGUAAAAAAAUUAAUAAAAUAUAAAGUUAAUGUAAGGUUUACCAGGAUUGGUCAUGAUGUGAUUAUGAUCAUGUUCUGGAUAAUGACAAGAAGAAUCCAAUGGCAUUUGAUCUUGAGCCAAGAGAUGCAAAGCUGUUUCUUUAUUCACAUCGCGUGCAAAAGAUAGUUCUUUCUUGUCUCUUGCCAUUUUGAAGGCCAAGUCUGCAAUUGAAAAAUAAUACUAUGAUCAAUAUUUUUGCAAUCGAUAAGUUGUGGUAAAUUCCCAUAUACUUUACGAUGGACCGAUGAUGAAAACUCACUCAAAACUUUGCUGACGGCUAAAGUUGCAACUUUAAAUCAAAAGUUUAGAUACCUCAAUAUUUAAGAUGCAAGAAAUUACAGAGGAAUGAAAUGCAAGUGAACAAUGAGUUGUGCCGUUAAUCCUUUCUGAAUGACAAAAUCAAUGCUAUGAAAAACUACAUUCAAAGACCUAGGAGACCCCCUUUGAAUCGAUUUAAAGAUCGAUUUGUAAAAUGUCGCUAAACCAUUAGCGGAAAUUUGCUAAUGUUAAUAAUGAAAUACAACUGUUAAUAAUCCUUACCAUAGAUGCCAGUGUAGAUACAAGCAAAGAACAAUGAAUUCCAGUCCUUGUUUUCAAAACGAUUUAUGGUUUUAUCAUAAAGAUGCCAUGUCAUUUUGUAUCUUCCUUGCAAAGCAGCAUACUGAAUAGGAGUAUAUCCUUCUGUACCCCUUAUAAUUGGUAAAAUGGGGUUUAUUUUCAGCAUUAAGUCAACAAUUUCAAUAUUUCCAGCAGCAGCAGCAAUAAAGAAAGCAGUGUUUCCGUUCAUAUCUAGCAAUUCUAUAUCUUUGUCAUCAAGCAUCUUCAAUAACUCCUUCACAAAGUGAAUGUGGUUUGCACCUGCAGCAAUAUGCAAUAGAGUAGGAGACCCAAAUGCUAUGGCAGCAUUUUUGAGCUUAUUCUCUAUAUAUGUCUAAGAUGUGCUUGGCUGCAGGCCAGUUUCCGUUUAGAGCAUGCUUGUGAAUGGGAACACAAUGCUUGAGAAACCUUUUCCUUUGAUCAUCACCUAAAACAAAGGUUCAAUUGCAGUUAAAGAGAGUAUUUCUAUUCCGUUAACAUUAAACCCACCCAACAUCACCUCAUGUACAAUAUACACAAAACUAUAGUUUUUUAUUAGCAAAAAAGAAAAAAAUGACUAGACAUGUUGAGAGAGAGAAUCAUACUUGUUUCCUCUAAAAACUCAGGAUUAGGCGCGUUGUAUAGGUCUGAUGUCGGAGUUUGUUGUGAUACUGGAGGUGUAGAAUUGGCAUCGGAGGUUGUCACCGGAGGCGUAGAAUUGGCAUCGGAGGUUGUCACUCUCCUGUAAAAGACAAUAUAUAUUAUGUAAAAGACAAUAUAUAUAUAUAUAUAUAUAUAUAUAUUACAAUAUUUAAUCUGAGAAAAUAUAGUUAUAACAUUUAAUUAACGUUAAUAUAUGAUUCCCUCAAAAAAAUCAUUAAUAUAUGCUAUCCACUUUGGAUAAAUCAAUGCACAACUAAGCAAACACAAGAUCGAUGCAGUGAAACUUUUUUCUUUUGAGAAUAGUUCUUAGUUUUUCCUGUUUUCAUUUUUCCUUUUCUUUAUUGUUUUGAUUAGCUUUGUAACCAAAAGAAAAGAAGAAAAAGCAAACACAAAUCAGUUUUUAAACAGAAAGUGAAUGUACGAAGCACUUAACCUGUCGAGCUCCUCCCACAUUUCCUUAGCCGUAUGGCAACUUGAAAUUCUUCCAAGAUCAUUCGGGUUUAAGGCACAAUAUAAAAUAGUUUUGGCUUUUGCUUCUAGUUCCAUGUUCUUCAUAUCUUCAUCAUUGAAUUCAUCUACCGAUUUCAACACUUCUUCACCAUUUAUUAAUUUUUUUGGAAGUUUUGGUCCAUUCUCAAUCACAAGCCAAACUUCGAAGUUAACAGAUUGUAUGAAUGUCUUCAUAGGUUCCCUCCACUCAGUUAAAUUUGUACCAUCGAAGUAUGGUGGCUUUGAAACGGAUCUUCCUUCAACAAUAAUUGCGUUCAUAACUUUUUUAGUUGUAUUAAUUACCUGCAAUGAAUAAAGUUCAAUUGCAUCUGGAGAAAAAGCAAUCUUUUUAGCUAAUCUCAAACCAAGAACAAAGCCCUAGAAUUAUUCCAACACAGAAGUACCAUGAUUGAGGUUGCGUAAAUAAAUCUUUAUUUCGUGUUCAUAUCCUCAUAAAAAAACUAUUGUAAAUAUAUUGAAAUAUAAACAUUUAAAAUAUUAUAUAUUAUUUCAAUUACAUAAAUUAAUCUUAAAUUAUAAAAAUAUUAAUUAUUUUGAAAUAUUAUUUAAUUAAUAUUUUCAUACUUUAAGAUUGGCAAUGAAUUUGAAUUUAUAAUUUUACUUUGAAGGAAGACUUGUGAAAAAAAAUAAUUGGAGUCAAAUUACUCAAGGACCAGAAAAUCGUAUGAUUACUUAUUAGUAGUGGAGUCUCAUCACAUAGUACGAUUCCUUUGAAAAAGACAAUAUAGUACCGUAAAGAAGAAGAAAUAUCUAUGGCUAAAAGAAAAAGAGGAAAAAUGUACGUUUCUUUUUUUAAGUGCUGUUUGUUGCUUAAUUUGUUGUUUAUAUUUAAUUGUUGUUUUGAAAGUUUAAAAAGAUAGUUUGUCAAUCAUAAACUAAAUUAGUGGAGGAAAUUUAGAGAACUAAAAAUUCAAUUUCAUCUAUAGAAUUUAAAUAUUUUUAUAUGAUUUCAACAUUUUAAAAAAGUGUACCGUAAUGAGGGUUAUAAUAAAGAGAGAAACAACAUUAAACCAAUAAAAUAAAAUAGACAUUCUUGAAGGGCUUGAGAAACAUAAAUAACUUAGGUAGAAACAAAACUAGGACGUGUUUUUGUUAAUUUUUUUUAUUAUUUUAAUUAUAUAUUAAUAAAAAAAUUAUUUUUAUUUUUCUAUUUUUGCUGUUGUAAUUAAAAAAAAAUAAUAAUAAAGUAAACCGAUCUCAAGGUUCAAGAGAAAAGGGUCAAACAAAAAUUUCUGAGACAAAUGCAUCUCUAUAUAUAUCAAGUAAAAAUAUAGAUAUGCAAAUUUAAUCUUUUUUUGUUUUUAAGUUCUAUUUAAUAUAGAUAUCAAAACUGAAGGUGUGCUGGUGCACACCAUGGCCUAAAGGUGGUGAAAAUUGGAUUCUUAUAAUAGCAAAACAACUAUACCUGGAAAUGCGUAAAGAUGACUUUAAUUUUUUCUUACAGUUGCCUGCACAAAUAUCGACAAAUAAUAUGUUAAGUAUGUCGUUUUGACUUCUGAGAAAUAUUAUAAAAAAGCUAAAUUAAUAAUAAAAAUGUACAGGAAAAUAACUCAGAUUUUUUAGUAUAAAAAUAGACGGAUUCUUGUUGUUGGUGUAGAAAAGUAAGGAAAAUAUAUGGAAGGUAUAUUCAAAUUGAAAUCUUAAUCUCCCUUUUCAAAUUGAAAUCAUAAUGCAAAGGGAAGUUAAGGAAAGAGUAAGGAAAACAUUGAGUUUUGAGAGAUGUCACUGAAAUUAUUUACACACUACUUAUAGGAGAAAAAAGGACAGAGAGAAAAAGAAGAUUGUGAUAAAGGAAGGAAAGGAGAAGGAAUGGUGUAGAAAAAUGGUAUAUCCCUUCAGCAAAAAGAAAUGCAAGUACCGACCAUUAUUAUUGUUUUGGACUGGGCUUCGGCCAAUAUUGCCGGCUCAAUAUACAGUGGCCCAAUAACCACUACUAUAGGUAGAAAAUUGUUCUUCUCCUUUUCGUUUUUGCUCAUUUCCUUAAUUUAGUGUGAGUUAAUACGUUGUCACUUUUAAGAUCGGUUCAAUUACUUUUUAAGUCGGUUCAAUCGAUCUUAAAAGUGUCAGCGUGAAUUAUCUUCAUGCAGAACAAAAAGUUGAAUACUCUAAAAGGAUGUGAGAAGAUUUGAAGAAGAAACACAAGGAAGACAAAUUUGUAGAGCAUCAACAACAUGGAUAAAAAAGAAUCAAGCAGAAACUUAAAUAGGAGGCUUAGAAUAUGGAGAAAAAAUAAUCAACCAGUUUGUUCAAGUCAUGGUGUUAGAUGACAUUCCUAUCUUUCUUGGUUGCAAGAAUAAGAACUGUGCAGGGGUGAAUUUUAUAGAUUGCAUGCUACAUUGGAAGAAAAUUUGUAAUCAUUUUAGUAUAUAAUUGAAAUUGUGUCGCAUAAUUCAUUUUCCAUUAUGAAAUUUAAUUUUGAAAUGUGUUGUGAAUUCGAUGAAAACUCACCUCACACCAAUAACAAACUUGAUGUGUGGAGCAAGGAUUAUCAAGCAAUCAAAACAAAGUGUAUUGAACAAUUAUAAACACAAGCAAAAAGUAGAAAACAACGAGAGAGAAAGGAAGAGAGAACACAAAAGAAUUUGUUGACCCAGUUCGGUCCAAAUUUACAAAAGAUAUAUCAAUGGGUUACAAGAAUAAGUCUCCCGCCUAAUUCUACCCAAAGUCUCAAUCUCUUCCCGUAACCAAGAGAAUCAAUCCUAAUAGUGUUUCCCAAGGUGAAUCAACCCUCAAACCCUAGUGUUUGUUGCCAAGAGACAAACUCUAUACAAACCCUAAUUUUGUUGUUGUCAUUCUAAACCCUUGUUUCAACCCCCUAUAUCUCAAGGUUUACACUGAUACAAUGUCUAUAUUUAUAGUAAAACAAUCCUCAAUAAAACUGGAACAAAUCUAGGCCCGAAAAUACGUUUCUGUUUUAUUUUCUGCUGUCAAAAUCGGCCACCGAACUCCAUAAAUGGGCCACCAAUUUUUUUCGAACCAACUGACAAAAAAAUCAGAGUGCAAAAUCGGCCACCGAGCCUUGAAAAUCGGCCAUCGAUUUUCUGCUUCCAGAAUUCCAAUUUCUUCAAUUUUGAGGCACUUUCACAACAAUUUUUUUUCAUAAGAACAUAUCAAGAGUCUUGAAUCUAAUUAAAGUUUGAUCUUCAAUUUUUGGCCAAUUCAAAUAAGAGUUCUCAAUCAAAUUUGAAAGAGGUCUAUUUUUAUUUUUUUUAUCAAUAUGGGACAUGUUGCAAAAAAUAUAAGUAGGCGAUGUUCUUUUUAUGUACUAAUGAUGAUUCAAAACUGUUACAAAAAAUGUAAACAAGUAACAUUUUUUAAUUGUUACUAAUAAUACUAAAAAAAUGUUACUGAUACCGUUUAGUACCACAAACUUUACCUAUCAAUUGUUAAAUGUUACUAGAUAUAAUUAGUAACAUAUUUUUGUGAUUUAGUAAUACUUUUCAAAUGUUACUAAAGCUCAAUUAUGUCGUAGUGAACCCAUAUUUCAUGUCGGAUUAUUUUUUUCUUUUUGAAAUGAUUUUCUAAGCUAAAAGUGAAUCAAAGUUAGAGAACAUAAAGCAAUAGAGAAAGAAAAGAUAUAACCAAAAAUAUUUAUCUUGGAAAAGUGAAGGAGGGAGAAAAGGGACGUCGUGGAAAAAUGGUGCAUUCCUGCCCUAUGGCAUAAAGAAAUGUGAGUAACUGACCAUUAUUAAGACUUUGUUAUUAUUGUUUCCGACUAGGCUUCGACCUAUAUCUCGGGUCCAAUAUACAUCGACCCAAUAACACAUAAUCCAUUGCCUCACAUAAGCGCUACUCCGUUGAUCAAGACCAUUGAUACAAUCUCCAACAAACUAGUGCAUUCUAUGUUGGAUUCACGGAGACGGUUAUGGUUACUGGUCAAACACCACUAUAUAAGGGUAACGACACGCCAUUCCAAUGGACAUUGUUUUUUCACCACUUUCACUGUCAAGAGAGUUUUCUAUAGGAUUUCUCUUUAUAAUAUCAUUGUACUUUCACCGGAGAACUAUCUUCAACCUGAGCUAUAGCAUUACACUGCCGCAUCAACGAAUCUUUAUGCGUUACAACUACACUAUGAUCCAAUAUACAUCAUAUCAUUAGCGUUAGAAGGAGAUCAUUGAUGUUCCUAUUUUUAGUACACACAAAAUAUUGUUGUUCAAGUGUUUUCCGUUUUGUCCUAUUUUAAUAAUUUAUUUUUGUGGUAUUAAUAAUAAUUAGCUACCUAAAUGAAUUAAUUGUAAGCAAAACAUUUGUAAUAUUAAUUUAAAGUAGUUUAAAUAACUUCAGUAAUUUUGUUGUUGGUGUUCGGGGUUUGAAUUCCGGACCUUGCAUAUAUCAUGUGUUGUCCUUAUCAAUUGAGCUAAGUUCAAGGGACAAAUAACUUAAAUGAUUUAAUUUGAUUAUAUUUAGACCACCAUAUAAAGUAAAUUAAGAGCUUAAUAUUCACAAACCAUGUAAAUAGUUUUACAUUAUCGUCAAAUAAAAACCAUUAUAUUGGUCUAUAUACUCUAGUUCAACAAAUAAAAAUGUCAAAAGUGUUAGGUAAGAUGUUAUGCACUUGAACUCCGACUUUAUUUUUUAUUUUUUAUUUUUUUCUAGUAUACCAACGGCUUAUUUGUGUGUCAAUUUUGAUUGACUUUUGUCGUUUUGUUAGUCACACUUUAUUAUGCUCUCACUCGUUUCUCACAUGGGCGUACCACCAGACCACCAAUUCAAAAUUGUCACGUUUCUCACUUGGUCAUACACAACAAUACAUAGAUAUCAUCCAGUUUAAAUUUCUUCGAUGUUCAUUUAUAAGAGAGAUAGACAUAUCUUAUAGGUAAGGAUACUAUCCAUUUAACAAAAUAAAUUUAGUAUGCAAUUUGGAAUGUAUGACUUGGAAUGUAGCCUCUUAAUUACAUAAUUAUCUUUUUACCCUUUUUUUUUAUUUCACAGAACUGUAGCAUUUCUUAUUCUUCUUACUCCGUUUACAUUUUUUAUUCUGCUCAAUUUCUUCUUUCUGUUGUCUCUGCACCAUUUCAUGAUUUUUCGUUUCGCUUUUUAUAAUACUUAUAAACAAAUACAACUCACCAAUUAUUUCUGCAUUGUUAAAUUAUCGUUUCACUUUUCAUCUCAUGUUUGAAGUUAUUUCAUGUUUUUUUUAGACAUAUUCUACACAGUUUCAUGUUUUUUCGUUUCCAUUUUAAUUUCUACAUAUAACAGUAAUAACUGCAAGUCUUUUGGUUUAUUAUUUUUUUUACAUGGUCUUUUGGUUUCAUAAUUGAUUUUGAGGUAUUUUAUUUAUCUACUUCAAUAUUAAUAGAAUUCAUUGGUUGAAUAUAAUGAUGAUUUUAUUCGAUGAUUAUUUUACAAUGAUAUGUAAACUAGGGCAUAAGUUCUCUUCCAUUCCACUCGAUUUCAUUAUGUUUCAUUCCACUCCGCUCCGUUCUCUUCCAUGAAUCUAAACAGAGCCUUAAAAAGUGUCCUUAGGACAUUCGUUACCAUUUUCCUUUUAUAAAGCCUUGCAACAAAAAUCACUAGUAUUAAGAAAAAUUAUUAGAAUAAUAAAUUUGUUUCAAAUAUGUGUGAUGAUCAUUAAAUUACUUUUUUAAGUAUAGAUAUAUUCAAUGUUGAUUUUUCAUAUUUGAAAUCAACUUUGUAAUAUUGAUAAUGUAAAAUUAAACAAUGUGUUCCUCAACUUAUUUUCAGAUAAUAUUUUCGUUAUUUAUUUUACCGAUUUAACACUUGAUGUUAUAAAAUGUCAAUGAUAUCCUUUUUUUAUUAAAAAAGCAAAAAACAAUAAAAUUCAUCAAAACCCCAAAGCACACCAAAUAAACUACGCAAUCCUUUUGCUCAUGUUGCCCAUGUCACAAAUCCAUCUUAUCCGCCUCCUCCUUUGUCAUGGAUCUUUGACUCUGGCGGCGCCUCCCAUCAUAUAACAAAUGAUAUGACAAAUAUGUCCAUCAAGAGUGGCUACGAUGAAGUUGAUAACUUGCAAGUUGCAAACAGUAAUGACUUGCUUAUCUCACACAUUGGUUCUGCCACAAUUCCCACUUCUUCUGUUAACUUAAAAUUAUCAAAUAUUUUAUAUGUUCCUUUUGUCACACAAUAUCUAAUUUAUGUCUCUAAAUUAUACCAAACUAAUAAAGUUAAUAUAUAAUUUUUUUCUUGGUAUUUUGAGGUGAAAGAUUUACGUACAGGGAGAUACUUCUGUGCGGAUUGAAUGAAGAUAAUGCGUACAAGUUUGCUCCUGCAUCCACUCCACAGACCUUUUUUGCCCACACCACACCUAGGGAUGGAGCUAGAAAUUUAGCUUAGGGGGACAUAAUUUAAGAAUAUAAUUUAGUAAAGAAAAAACAAUUUUUUUUUUGUGCAUAAUAUAUCAAGAAAAAUCAUGGGACCGACCUUCUUCUUCUCUAUCAAAAAUUUUCUCUGCCUUCUCUCUUGAACCACCGACCUUCUCUUUCCAACUCCUACCUCCUUCCAAUCCAAAUCUAAUUUUAUGUGUUCCUUUUGUCACACAAUAUCUAAUUUAUGUCUAUAAAUGAUGCCAAACUAAUAAAGUUAAUAUAGAAUUUUUUCUUGGCAUUUUGAGGUGAAUGAUUUACGCACAGGGGAGAUACUUCUGCGCAGAUUGAAGGAAGAUAAUGCGUACAAGUUCGCUCCUACAUCCACUCCACAGACCUCUCUUUCCCACACCACACCUAGGAAUGGAGCCAGAAAUUUAGCUUAUGGGGACCGAAUUUAAGAAUAUAACUUAGUAAAGAAAAAAAAAUUGUGCAUAAUAUAUCGGGUUAAUAGUGUUUUACCCCCCUGUAAUAUAGGUCAUUUCCGGUUUUCCCCCCUGUAAAAUAUUUUUUUUGAAUUUCAUCCUUGUAAUUUGAAGAUUUUUUGGUUUUGGACCUUCAUGGAAAAUUUCACUCCCUGUAAUUUGAGCAAAUUUAGGUUUACCCCCUUGUAAUUUGAGAAAAUUUCGGUUUACCCCCCGUUAAUUUGAGCAAAUUUCGGUUUACCCCCUAUCAUAUCUUCGAUUUUGUACUGUCAAAAUUCAUGAAGGUCCAAAACCAAAAAUCAUCAAAUUACAAGGACGAAAUUCAAAAAAUAUAUUUUACAGGGGGUAAAACCGGAAAUGACCUAUAUUACAGGCGGGGUAAAACACUAUUAACCCUAAUAUAUCAAGAAAAAUACUAGGACCGACCUUCUCCUUCUCUAUCUAAAAUUUUAUCUGCCUUCUCUCUAGAACCCCGACCUUCUUCUUCCAACUCCUACCUCCUUCCAAUCCAAAUCUAAGGUUUACCAUGUAGAUUUAGCCUUGUGGUGCUGCGACGGUUGGUUCCAGCCACCCGCACCACCCUGAAAAUCUCUCUAGAGCUCUUGUUGCCCGACCAGUGGAGGUUGUUGUGGUUGUUGUCUUGGCUUUUCACGGUGCUUCCGGGUGUCGUAACAGGAGGAGGUUAUUUCUGGUCAGCUCUUUUCCUUCCUUUUCGGCGGCUGUCUCUGCCUAUGUUUCCGACGCCGUCCUAUUUUUCCGGCACAGGUCUCAAGACGCCAAGUCCGUUUUCACCCCAGUGCUGGUUGUUUAUCCGUUUUCAGGUCCGAAAGAGAUUUAUGUUUGCUGAUUUGUUCAGGGAACUGCGGUACAUGGAUAUGGAUUCUGUGUUGGUAGCCCAUCCAUUCCCCAUCCUAAGACCUAAUUGCUCUCGCAGAUGCUCACUCUUCUUCUUUUUUGUAACUUGGUUUCGGGCCCCUACGCGGGCUCGCUGGGUUGCGUUCAAGAUGAAUGUUUAUUUGUUAGAAUUGAUUAGGUUUGUUUUGAUUGAUCACUUCCCAUUUAGAUUGUACCUGGGUCAAUUAUAAUGUCCCCCUAGUCUUUGUAUGUCUUUGUUUUAUAUUUAUAUAUUUUAUCCUUUGGUCUAUAAAAAAAAUAUCAAGAAAUUUAAGAAACCAUAUGAUAUUUCCAAAAUUAAUGUGUCCAAAAUUAUAAAAAAAAAUGUCAAAGAUAUAAGAAAGGUGAGUUGCUUGAGGCUUGCUUUACUAAGAAGAGACUAAAUAAGACUUUUGAAUAGUAAAGAAAGAAAACAUGAAAUAACAAAAUCCAAAGGUAAGAGGAUGCAUUCAUGAUAAAAUCAUGAGCACUGAAUCUUGGCAUGAGAGUGCGUAAAUAACACUGCAUGCAAUAAGUACAACAAUUUGAGCGAAAUUGUUAUAAGGAAUCAUAAAUUAAUAUUAGUUCAGGAUUAAUAUUCUUUUGUAAGUUUCAAACAAAACUUUACUUUAUUUUUCAUUUUAAUGCAUUCUAAAUAAUAGUUGGUGUAAUUAAGCUUAGAAACUUGAGUGUACAAGGCUAAAUAAUUUGAGUAAAAAAAAAAGUUUAUUAUACAAUAUCAUAUAAAGUUCAUAUAAAAUAAAUAUAGUGACAAAAAAAUAUUAUAACAUAUUAAUAUGAAAAAAUAUUAUAAAAAUCUUGAGGGUGGGAGGGAUCGUGGCCUCUGUUGGUCCCGUUCUAACUCCAUCUCGGAUGACACCUACUCUCAAGCUUUGGCAUCAACGCCUAAGUCAUCCUGUCUACCCACCGCUCAUACAUGUAACCAAUAAAAUUUCUUUGAGUGUAUUGUACAACAAAUGUAUUGAUUGUGUUUUCAAUAAGAGCCAUAAGCUUCCAUUUUAUAAGUCCUCUAUCUCUAGUCAUUAUACACUAAAAAUUUUGUACUAUGAUUUUUGGGGGCAUGCUCCCAUUAAUUCCAUUGAUGGUUUUCAUUAUUACAUUAUUUUUGUGGAUGAUUUCUCUAAAUAUGUUUGGCUCUGUCCAAUCAAAUUUAAAUAAGAUAUUUCAACCAUUUUUCCCCUUUUCAAAAACUUGGUGGAAAUAAAUUUUAAUAAUAAAAUCAAGACUCUAUACAUCUACAAUGGCGAUGAAUUCAUAAAACUUCGAUCAUUUUUACAAAACCAUGGCAUCACUCAUUUAACUAAUCUUCAAUACACCCCAUAGCACAAUAGAUUCUCUGAACACAAACAUCGUCAUCUAACUGAAACCGUACGAUGUCUUCUAAAUGAAGCUCCCCUUCCAUUCGACUUUUGGUCACAUGCCUUCCAGACAGCUGCUUAUUUAAUAAACCGCUUGCCCACCCAUUAAGAUGGACACACAUUAUAAUAUCCUUUUUAAUCAGUAAGGACCAAAUUAAAUCUAAUUAAAAACCUUUGGAUUCUUGUGUUUUCCUUGUUUGAAACCUUACACAAACAACCAACUUUAACCUUGGUUUGAGCCUUGUCUUUUCUUUCCUUGGUUACCGUCUAAGUCAAAGUCGGCUACAGCAGCAUCAGCAGGAUCAGGACCAGCAGGACCAGGAGCAGGACUAGUAGGACAUUAUGUUUUUGUUUAUUACUUGUUUUUAGGCAUGGCAAUGGGUCGGGGUGGGGACGGGUUUUACCUUCCCCAUCCCCAUACCCUAUUCUCAUAUACUUACCCGUUACCCUACCUAUAUCCAAUGGGGAUGAGAAAUUGAACCCCUUCCCCGUCCCCGACGGGUUCGGGGAUCCCAUCCUCGUCCCCGACGGGUUCGGGGAUCCCAUCCCCGUACCCGUAGUGAAUUAUUUUUUAAUAAAAAAAAAUGUAUUUUUUUUUCCAACCUCAAUGGAAAUUUUGUAAAGCAUUAUGUUCCCUUUAACAUUUCCUUAACAUAAUCAUUUGGUUGCUCCUUUAAAAAUCAAAGGCAAAUUUUAUAACAUAGGGAUUAUUAAACCAAAUAACAUAACAUGAUCUAGGGUUGUGUUUCUAUUUAUAUAAAAAAGGAUAAAAAUAAAUAUAAUUUUUUACAUUUGGGAAGGGUAUGGGUAUGGGUUCAGGGUGGGUAUAUAUAACCAUGUUACCCGUCCCAUACCCGUGUUUUGAAAUCGGGGAAAACCCAAACCCAUGCCCAGAUCCAGUCAAAGCGGGGAAAACUCGUCAAAUGGGGGUGAGUUUGGGCGGGUACCCAUGGGGAUGGGUAUUGUUGCCAUGUCUACUUGUUUUUAGUUAUUGUUGGAUUUGUUGGUUGGUUUCUUCCAAAUCAUCAUGACAUUUGUUUAUUGUAUUUCGAUGACACAUUUCUAUGACAAUUGUUGGUUUUCGUAUCAAAUUUUCAAUUUAAAUUAUGUUGGUAAUUUCCGUUUAUUAAAUUUAUUAUUUGGCAUUGAAACAAUGUGUUUACAAUGUGUAAAAACACAUGUAACAGGUUCUACCUCAAUAGGUUCUUCCAUUUUAUGGCUUCAGGAUGCAUCGACAUGAAAAGGGAUCCGGCGGCAGUUAACUGCCGAGGAAACUUCGGUAGUUAACGGUCAAAGAAAUUGAAACCGACAGUAGUUAACUGCCGAAGAACAUUAAAGUCUUUUACAUGUGUGUUUCAGCCAAAUAACAAUUUUCUAACCUCAUGACUCAAUGAGAAUCACUUAGAAUGUGGUUCAUUCAUCUUCUAUACCUUGCAAAGAUGUAAUGUUCAAAUCACAUAUUUGGCUCUUCAAAUUCCAAAUCACAUAUAUGAAUCACACACUGAUUAUACUAUAUCUUACAAAAGAGAUUAUUAAAGAAUGAAACUGUUUUAGAACAUAGAAAAUGGACCCAAUGAUUUCUCAGAUUUUAUUAUAUAUACACACUUUGAUCAAUACAUUCUCUUAUUUAUACAACCAUAAUAGUUGCAACAAACUGAAAACAGAAAACCAAUUCUUAUUAACAAACAUACUAACAUGCUGAAUUAAUAUCACAAAACAACAAUUACAAAUAAACGGUGAAUCUUUAAUAAAAACAAUAAAAUCUGGUGCUGCUGUAAAUUUUCUUCCCAUGUUAAAUUUCCAAAUGCAAAAGAACCUGCCAGUUUGUUGAAAUGAUGAAUGUCACGAUACAAAGUAUAAAAGUUUAAUAAUGAAAUAUUAAAACACUCCUUAACUUUAUUUUUUUGAGCAAAAACACUCCUUAACUUAUAAAACAUAUUUGCUAAAUAUAAAAGAUUGUUAUAUUCUUUUUUUUUUUUCAAGAAGGUAAACUAGCCAAUCCAAAUUGGCACAACGGAGAAUCGAAUCGGAGGAGCACACUCCAAGGUCUUAAACCCACCAGGAUAAUCCAAGUGUGUUAUUUACCUAUUCUAAUACUUAUUUGAGAAUUUUCUCAACAAAAAAAAAAACUUAUUUGAGAAUUUUUAAAUAAAUUUUCAUAGUAAAAUAUAUUAUGAUCGAAUCCUUGAUCUAGUAAAAAAAAAUUAUCCUUGAUCUAGUAGAACCAUAUCCAUAUAUAACUCAAUUUUAUAAAAAUAACUGGUUAUAAAUUAAUAACUAUAUUCAUAACCGGUUUACAAUAAAAUAAGAUCAUAGUUAUGAAUCUAUAUAUAUGGAUAUGGUUUGAUCGGUUAGAAUAUCCGACCAUACACACCCUAAUAAUAAUACAAGUGGUCAUCAUUUUAUAUUUUCAAAGCUGUGGUACGUAUAAUCAUUUGAAAACGCUUUCAAAGUUGCUUUUUCUCAACAACAAAAACAAAAAAAAAAAUCAAAACUUAUAUGAAUUGCAUAAAAAAAUUCAUAAAAUUUUAAUUUUAUUCAAAAUUAGUAAAUUUGUUAGGAAGAAAUAUUUGUUAGUGUUUCAGGAAUCGAAUCUUAGAUGAUGUCCUACAUAAUAGUACUAUAUAUUUGGGGUUAGUACUAUAUAUAUAUGGGGAAGGAUAUAUUGACUCCAAGAGUAACUUUAAGAAGUUACUCCACAUCUUCACCUUUAAUUUUAUCUUAAUCUAAUGGAUUACAUUUAAGUCUUAUCAAUACCCAUAUGUGUCAUCAUUCUUGAUCAUUUUAACAAUAUUAGGUUUCCUUUUUUGCUUUCAAUCAACAUUUAUGUUUUAUUAACACGAUUAAUAAUUGGUAACAAGAAAUUAUUUGUAUGAUUCAUCAAAUAUUUUUUUAGAACAAAUUUCAAAUAUUAAACUAUGAUUAAAGUUCUUAAAAAAAAAAUAAUAAUAACUCAUACUGGUAAAAAACAUCACACUUAUUUAUUUUUUGACGAAACAUAACACUUAUAUUUAAAUACAACUUUUUUUAAUUCACCGAUAAAAUAAAAAUUAAUAAAAAUAUAUAUUUUUUUUUAAAUAAAAAAUAUAUAUAUGUAUUUGUAUUAAUCAGUUUUUUAUCAAUUUAUAUUUGUACAAAUAUAUAUACUUGAAAACAAUUUAUUUAUAUAUAAGGGUAGACCGAAGCCUUGUUCUAAAUAAACAUUAGAUAAAAUGUAAGAAUAUGUUUUUUAUUUUUUCACCAAUAACUGAUUGUCUCAUUAAAACAUCUUGACCAAAAAACAAUUGUGUUAAUAAAACAUGAUGAAAUAUAAGAUUUUUUUUUCCACCAAUAAUUGAUUGUCUCUCAAUAAAACAUCUUGACCAAAAAUUGUGAGUAAAACAUAAAUGUUGAUUGAGUAUGAAAAAUGAAAAUUAAAUAUCAAGUAUGAUGAUGCACAUGAUUAUUAAUAAGACAUAAAUGUAGUUCGUUAGAUUAAGAUAAAACUAAUGGUGGGGAUAUGGAGUAUAACUCUUUAGAGUUACUCUUGGAAUCAAAAUAUCUCUUCCCUAUAUAUAUAUAUAUAUAUUUAACGAUAUUUUUGUUUUCAAAAUUUUGGAAAAUAUUAAAACACCUAAACUAAUAUAGGAGAGGAAAAUCAAAUAUAAUCGUUGUGUCUUGAUACCUGUUGACAUUUCAAGUGUUGCUAUAAGACAUAUCUUUAACACUUAGUGUUGGAUUUUUUUUAGAACUUUUUGCUGCCACUGGAAGAGAAGAACCAUUGUUGUAGGCCAAAUCCUUCUGGUUUAAGAUUGGACUAUUCUUAGCAGGGUCUCUCGAAUCCUUCUUAUCUGAAAGUUUUUGUGAAUGUCCCAAAUUAUUAUGAUUAUUUCUUGAACUCAUUUUGGUAUGUAAGUAAAUAUUAGGUUGAAACAAUGUGCUAGAUAAUAGUAUAUUUUUCGAAUGCCUUUCUUUGAAGACAAAUAUUAUUAUAUAUGUAAGCUAGUGAUGAAUGCAUGGUGAGUUUUAUGAGUAAUUUACAAUGUAAUUGAGUGUUUAAGCACAUGCAUUUGAUAAUUUCACAAAAACCACACGGAAAAUACUAUAGUUGAGGGUUUGAAUGUCGACCUAAGUCUAAUUGAUUUAAAUUAAUAUGAAACUUCAUUGUCUCCCUUCGUUUGAUCAUUAUCCUGGGUUUUUGCGAGAAAAAAUGUACACGCCGAAAUUUUCUGGAUAGGAUAUAUGAAUAUGUGAUCAAACGAAGGUUUCACACUAAAAAUGUACACUCUGUUUCUUGUGGUUCAAGAAAUAUCAUAUACACGUGGCUUAAACUUACCAUCAAUUACGUGGUAUAUUUCCAUUUGAACUCUUAUGAAAAAAAGAUUGGAUAAAAGAUGUUAUGAUAUAACCCUUCUUCAUUUUUUUAUACAUAUUAUUUUUAAUUUACUAAAAAAAAUUAUCUUAUUAUUUUAUAAAUGUAUCAAACGAGAAAAAGAUUUCCUUAAAUUUGUUCAUUAUCUUCUAUUUUUGUUAUUUGUUUUUUAUAAUAAAGGAGCUGCUAUACCUCGCAUGAAAUUUUCUCACGAAUUUAUCCCGAUGGCAGAUUUCAGUUGUAACAAAAACAAAAAAAGCUACCACAUACCAUAUAUGUCAAUUACCAUAAAUUAAGGAAUUGGUUAUUAAAAUGGGUCAUGAAGGAUUCGGGAUGCUUGUUUUCGCUAUUUGCUUUCUCUUAUAAUAAAUAUUAGGUUUAAUUACACUUUUGAUCCUUGCAUUCUGACCAACUCACGAAAUUGGUCCUACCUCUUUUAAAUCGAACAAAAUCGUCCCUAAACUAUAUGUUUUUUUGCAGUUUUAGUCCUAUUUCCCUAUUUUCAACUCCAGAAACGCACAGAAAUGACAGUUUUAGUUCAACCAUAUAUGCUCAACUAUGAAAUAAAUAAUGAACAAAUCAUGUGGGUACAAGGAGUCUACUUUGUUCAGCACACGAACCAAGAAAAACACUAAUUUCUAAGACAUGUUUCAGGUAUGUAACAUGUCUCGAAAAUUAGGUUAGUGUGCUGAAUAAAGUAGAUUCCUUGUACCCACAUGUUUUAUUCUUUGUUUAUUUCAUGGUUGAGCAUAUGUGGUUGGACUAAAACUAUUAUUUAUGUGCGUUUCUGGAGUUGGAAAUAGGGAGAUAGGACUAAAACUGCAAAAAAACAUAUAACUUAAGGACGAUUUUGUUCGAUUUAAAAAAUAUAUGACCAUUUUUGUGAGUUGGUCAAAAUGGUAGGGCCAAAAGUGUAAUUAAACCUAAAUAUUAAAAUGAUAAAGACUUCAAAGUUUAGUGCUAUGUUUCCGUCCUCUCAGCAGAACAGCAACUUGGAUUCAAAAUUAAGAAUUAAAUAAGAAAUAGUGGCUUCCUAGGAGAGCAAGGCCGUUUCCGAUAAUUUAAAGGUCCAGUUGUAAUUUUGACAAUUUUUAUUUAAAAAGAAUUAAAAAAAAAAUGUUCAACACCAUUUAUAGAAUUGUAAAAAAGAAUUGAAAGAGUUGUAAAUUAACCACAUUCAUCUUCAACUACAAUGAAACUAGACUUAAUUACACUUUUGGUCCUCGUGUUUUGGUUUACUCACGAAAAUGGUCAUGCCUUUUUAAAACAAAACAAAAAUGUCCUUCAGUUAUCAUUUUUGUUGCAUUUUUCGUCCAACCCUCCAUUUUAUCCUCCAAAAACGCACAUGUGGCAGAUUUUUAACUGAUGUGGCAAAUAAAAUACCUAUGUGGCAUUGCAUAUUGUAAGGACUCAUUAAAAAUAUUUAAAAAUUUUUAGAGAAAAAAAAACGCAUUUAAUAAUAAUUUAAGAAUUACAGUUUUAACAAAAUUGAAGAUUAAAAAAUAUUACAAAUGCAUCCAUGGAAAUUGUAAUAUCAAAUUAAAAAAAUUAGGUUUCCAAAUAAAAUUAAAAACUCUACAAUAUUUAUCUUCUUCAAUCUUCAUUUCAAACUCAUUUUCUUCUCUCUCAUCUUACCUCACUCCUUUAACCAUCACCUUAUUCACAGAUUCAAUCACCAUUUCUUUCUUCUAUCUUCUCUCUUAUCUCACAUCAAUCCAUCCCUCAACCAUUAGCUUCUUUAAAAAUUCAAACCCAGAAACCCAAAUAAAAAUUAAAAAAAAUUGUUUUCUGGGUUGUUGAUGUUUAUUGUUUUGUGUUGCGUUUUUUAUUUUGUACCAGACCUGGGAUAGAGAAGAAAGAGAUGGUUGAAGGAGUGAGUGAGUGAGGGAGAUGCAUUGCUAUAGCAAUUAAAAAAAUUCUGAAAUGUUUUAAUGAAUUUUCGGUUAAAAAAUUGAUUUUGGGAGAUUCAUUUGUAAAAUGUGUUUUUUAAAUGUGUCCUUAUUAAAUGAGUUUUUUUUCUCUCAAAAAAAAAUUAAAUGUUUUUUUAAUUAGUCUUUAUAAAAAAAAUAUUGAUUUGAUGAUAUGUAAAUGUUAUUUUCCAUGUAUGCACUGCCACCUAUGGGCUCUUUUGGACACAUCAUUAAAAAAUUGGACACAUCAACGUUUUUGGAGGGCAAAAUGGAGGGUAGGACGAAAAAUACAACAAAAAUGAUAAUUGAAUGACAAUUUUGUUCUGUUUUAAAAGGGCGGAUCAUUUUCGUGAGUAGGCCAAAACAUUAUGACCAAAAGUGUAAUUAAGUCAUAAAACUAAUGACUCAAUCUUCGCAUGUGCUCCACAACUCAAAAUGCAAUUAUGCAACAUACUCCAUACCUCACAAAUCUCAAACCAUAACCAGAUUCAACAAAAUUUUCACAGUACUGUGCUCACACUUUGGAUCAGUUAAUAUAAACUAUUCAGCACAAAAGAUCGAACAUCCAAAUCAAUCACUCUAAAUUCUCAACAAUCUACACACCGUCACUAAAAUCCUACAAAUUAGCAUUCAACAUUGAAUCAAUCACUACUACAUUUUCUUCAUUUCUUAAGCCCCGCACUCAAUACCAAUAAAUCACUUACAUAGUCACCGAACACGUCACAGACACUCAAAAAAAAAAAGAAUUAAUUGAAUAUAAUCACACAUGUUUAAUCCACACACCGUCACUAAAUUGAAGAAGAAAGGCGAAGAAAGUUGGGAUCUGAAAUGGAACUGACAUCACGAAGUUGAAGAAGACUGAGUUCACCUAAAUAGGAAUCGGCACGCUGAGCGGACUCGGCAGGGAUGAUGAGUUGAACGAACAUCAUCUUCUCGGAUCGUAUAAGAUCCAUCAGCGGUAAGUUGUCGAUGAACUUUUCCAUUUUCCCAGGAAACGUCGAGAAAAUGGAUCUGUUGUUAGAUUUGAAAACGUGUCCCGAACAAGUUGAAAAUGAAGACACUGAAUGUAUUAAAAAAAAACGAUUUUCAGUUUUUUAAAUAAAUAAUUUGUUUUUUAAAAUAGUUAAUUACAAAAAAAAAAAAAAAAAACAAUUUUAUGUAAUUUAAAAAUUUUCGGUUUUUUUAUUUAUAAAUGAGGUGGACAUUAAUUUACACGCGUGACAUAAAAAAAUUAAAAAGAAAAAGAAAUUGACACAUCACUGCCCUGUAGGAGAUUUUGCUGACAUAUUGGGGUCAGGGGUCAAUCCUGAAGAAUCUUCAUUUUUCAAGGGUGGAAUCUAAAAAAAAAUAUUACAGGGGCUAAAACCAAAAAUGCACCAUAUUACAGGAGCCAAAAACACUAUUAACCCUUAAAUAUAUGAGUAUAUAUAUUCAAACAUGACUUUUACCCACAGACAAUUAGACACUUACAUAUGGACAAUGAAUAAUUAACAACAAAAUAGUUGUCCUCUCCUGACUUUCAUCUACGGAAAAAUGACAUUUAUUGAUUGAUUUUGUUCAUAGAUGAAAAUGUUUUUUUUUUUUUUUUUUUAUCUUACACCCUGACGAUUAUACUCCAUCCCUACAAAUAUUUUAGGCCUUAGUAAAUUGGAGGCCUGACUCCAAAAGAGCUCCUUGUUCUUUCCCAAGAACAUGCAUGUUGGAGAGAUACCACAUUAUGCCGCCAACGUCACGGAGACAACUUUCACGGAUUUUCUUGUUAGUUAGUUAAUCCAUAAUAGUGAAUAAAAUGUUAGUUAGAAAGAUGUGGGAGUGUUUUAGCAAGUUAUAACUAAAAAGUUAAUAAAUACAUCUUAAGGUGUAUGUUCCUAUAACACACAUUCUAAAAAAACAAAUGGGUGUGUUCUAGCAAAUCCUAUUGACAUUUGUUAGAAUACACCCACUUAUUUUUUAGAAUGAGUAUUUUAGCAAAUGAAUAACUAAAAAGUUAUUAAAUACACCUUAAAGUGUAACUUUGCUAAAACACUCCCACAUAAAAACUAAUGGAUGUGUUCUAGCAAAUCCCAUGAGCUACUCCAAAUCACAUCCUUCCAUUUUGUUUUAAUCCAACUAUGCUAGUUAAAUAUUAAAUUAUCUCACAUGAUCAAGCACUAUCCUAGUUUUCUCUCUCAUUCCCUGGUUACAGCUUCGCUGAAAAAACGAAUACUUUGUUGCCUCUUCUUACUCAAUCCUCCCAACAUUUUCUCAAAAUAUCCUCUUUAAUUAUUAAUUACAAAUAAUCAAGAAUAAAAUUGCACAACGUCUUUCAAUGUCUUACUUGAUCUUUAUUUUGUGUUAUUGUAUUCCCACAUAGAAUUUUGAUUCAAUACAAAUCUAGUGACUUUCCACAAUUUCUAUUAAAUUUCAAUAAUUUCGUUCUCCUAUUCUUUGAAUAACAUAGAAUUCUUAGAUUUUAUUUCAUGUACAAAAUUAUCGUUGAAUAGGUGAAAUGAGGAGGAUUAUUUCAAAAUUAAAAAAAAAAAAAAAAGGUGAAAUGAGGAGGAUGGGUAUAGGCAUGGCGGACACUGUAAAUCAUAAUUUGAGGAGAGUCACGUGGUAACAUUCAAAAAUAUAUCUAAAAUAUUUCUUCAUAAAAAAACUGGAAUUAGUAUAAAUGAGAGUGAUUAAUCCAUCUAUCUAUUGUUAGAGUUAAAUCUAUGUUUCUUAAGAUCAGUGUGGUGUGAGGAGGAAGAAGACCCAAACCGUUUUAUGAGGGAAAUGUUUUUAUAGAGCUUGAUUAUGUGAGAUGAUUUAAUAAUUAAUUAGCAUCGUUGGAUUAAAAUAAAAUGGAGGGAUGUGAUUUGGAGUAACUUAAAAGAGUUACUCUUGGAGUUAAAAUAUCCCUCCUCAUAUAUAUAUAUAUAUAUAUAUAUAUUGUCAACUGAAGUAUUCUCACAGGAAUAAGAAUGUAAAAAAAAAUAAAAAAUUGGUUUUCUAAAUAAACACAAGUGAAAUAAAAAUAAUUUUGUUAAACCUUACACAGAAGCAAAAUUGAUUAUAUACAUCUUAGGCUUUGUUUACGAGUUUGGAGGGGAAGGAAAGGUAAAUUAAUGCAUAUAAUUACUUUAUUUUUAAUUUUAAAAAUAUUAUAACAACAUAAAUUAAAUUUGAAGAAUUCUUAUUAACCCUCAAAAACCCUCACUCCAAUACAAUUUUUUAGUUCCUCCAAAUGAGAAGGGUUUUGUAUUAUGAAGAAAAAUUAACCCCCAAAGCCCUCCUCUCCCAUUUUCUUCUAUUUCUUCCACUUGCUCAUUCCUUUUUUCCUAAGUCUUCCCCUCCCUUUCCCUCCAAACUCGCAAACAAAAGGCUAAAGAGAGGAUCCAUAUUGCUCUCAAAUGCAUCUACUCUUUUUCUUCAUGUUUUAAUGUUUUUUUACUUGAAGGCUAAAGACUCUGUUACCAUAAUUUUAUGCAUAUAAAAACACAUAUUUUAAGAACUAUGGCAUAUUUUGAGAAAUAAACAAGAUUCCUACUCGUACAUUUUACUCAUAUCUAUCCUUUGGAUAAAAUUGAAUUCUCAUUUACUUUUGGAAGCAAGGAGAAGGUUAGGGAGGGGAGAGAGCGGAACUAUACAGAGUGUGAAAAAACUAAUCUCUUUGUUGGAUAUUACCGCAGAUGUCUUACAGAUUCAGAUGCUCAAAGAACCCAUUAAUUGAAAUUUUUACACUUGAUCAAAUACAAAGAAUGGUUCUUUUGACAUCUAAACCUGAUUUUGCUUCGGAUCAUGCUGUUUGUUAGUUGACCCCUUUGGGAUCAAUUUAAAGCUUCAUAUAGGAUAAUAUAGUUCUAAAUGAGAGGCCUGCCAACUUUCUGGCUUUGACCUUAACCCACCAACGCUUUACAAUGUGGUUGCAUGCCAGUAUGAAAAUAUAGACAUUAAUUAAAAUUUGUCGGAAGCUUCUUCCUUUGUCUGCGCAAAACUUUUGAAGCAUCAUUAAGCUAUAGUCCUUGCAUGGCUUGUGGAUCCUUCAUUAGGCAACGUCUUUAUAUCAUUGAAAUGUAAUAUCAGAGAAAAAGAAGAGAUACUGAUAGCAUACAAAAUCCCAUUAGCAAGAUUUCUCCGUGGAAAUCACCGCCUGCUGAAGCUGCACAGAAGGGAAAAACAAGCAGUGAGACAUUAAAGCAAGUCCAGUGACAGGAACUCGAUGAAUUUAUAAAGUGAAUGAAAGAAUCUAAUCUUAUCAAGUAUUGUCAGUUCUAGUUAUAUCGAAGCAAUAGAAAGGAAAGAAGGGUCUACUAUGACAGAUAAACUUACAUGGAGAGGAUGGACUAAGUAACUGAGAAGCCAAUUUUUUGGAUCUCUCCUCGUCUUGGCGAAGCUUGACUCCAUGAGAAACAUCGGCUGCACGUGGCAGAUCAGGAGAAACCUGAGUUGUGUGGCUGGAAGUAUAUGAUAUAGGGGAAGCAGCAGGAGAAUAAGCUGGAGGAUGCUCAGUCACAAUGGACGGUGAAGGUGAGGAUACUUCACGGUCAAAACAAGGUGUCUUAGCAGUUGCUGGGGAUAUAGGAGAAUAAGAGGGAGCAUGAUAUGGUGAAAUUAAUGGCUCAGAGUGAUCAGUUAACUGUGGGGAUGGAGCAGGAGCUGGUGGGUAAGCAUGUAGCGUAUCCUUCAGUAAAGAAGAUAACCUGAUUUCUCUGACUUGGCCGAAAACUACGUUAUUAAGGCCAAGAUUGUUUCCAGCAGUGUGUUUUACUGUUUGAGCUAUUUGUUUCAAUCUUUGUGGCAAAAGACUCUCAAACCCUCGCAUUACUGAAGCCUGCACUACUGCAGGACAAGCUACUGUUGAGCCGCGUGCAUUUGUUAUUUGCACAUACACAUUCUGCAAUGGCAAACAAUUAUGCAAAUGCUUGUUAUAUCAAUCUGUGAAUGUACUUAAAUCCAACUUCUAAUAUUUAAAUUUCAUUUGCUCAAGGUAUUAAACAUAGCAAUUUACUCAUUCUUAAUCAACUGAUGAUUUAGGCUAUGCUAGUUUGAUUAGGCAAAGAAAGAAAAUUGUAAAUUUGAAACCUAAUAAAAUUACAUGAAAACAAGAAUGUAGAAAAUGGCAAUGCAUCUGGACUUUUUAUUAAUGAAAAUUGUUUUUCACCCACUCAAAAAGGUACACCCUAAAAUAUUGCUAGAGACCCGCCAUUAGUUAUCAGCUUCUAGUUAUUAACCAAUAGAGAACUAGGUUUUAAUCUUUGACCAAAAAAUGCAAAAUAAUAACAGUAACAGCAGCAACAACAAUAAAUAAUGAAUCUUUCUUGUGGAAUAAACUUCAACAGCCUUUAUUCUUUAAGUUAAAAAUUAGAAAUUCGUCUUUCUUUGUUCCUUCCAUGAAUAUUUCAGAAAAUUGUUAACAGAAUAUAAAAAACCAGACAAGAAAAUUUUGUUUUGAUUAAAUUCUAUCCGAUUUUGAGAGAAGUCAGAAAGGUAUUGCAACUUUAAGGUUUUGACUUUUGAGUGAAAUGGCACUUAUAAAACCCAAAUUGCAAUUCUCAAAAUAUUAAGUGAAACAGGUUAUGAGACUGCACCUCAUCAGACUUCAGAUGCAAUCCAAACUUCAAUUCUUCCUCAAAAUCAUCAAACUUAUCCAGGACUUCAGAUAUGGAAUGAUGAAGAGUAAAAUUAAACAGAACCUCGCGGAUCUGCCACAUAGAAACAGACUGCACUGGUAUUACAGUCAACCCACCAGGAAACUUUAAGAUCUCAAACAAAGAUGCAUUCCCAAAUACUGAUGUUGUUAAAGUCAGGUUGGUUUGCUGGAGAAACAGGUCAAUUAGUGAUGACUUCAGCACACUCAAGUACACUGGAUUUAUUGGAAUGUUCAUUGGAUCAGAGAGGACACCGAAUACCACGUCAGACCAAUUAGGUGCAACACUUUGGUGGAUGGAUAGGAUAGCCACCUGUGUUAAGAGUAACUAGCUUAUUAGCCACUUUUUAUGUCUGGGUAGAGACACCUGAGGAAAAAAAAUGUAAGAGAAGAAGCUUGGCUAAUACCUUCGUGUUUGGCAGAGAUAUUUCGUCAAAUAUUUCAUCUUCUAAUCUUUCAAUGUAUGGAAUAAGCUGUGAAACUGGUUUUUCCAGCCUGAAGGAUGCUUGAACAUGAGCUGAAAUUUGGUCGAGGAAAACAAUUAUCGUCAAUAAACUCAGUAAUGUCACCAACAAUAAGAAUUCAAAUGAAGAUCUCAACACAGAAGAUUAAUCGCAGGAAAAUAAUAGAAAAAGAAACCAUAACAAACUUAUGAGUGAUAGUUGCACGGAUCACAUGUAUAGUGCAGUACAAAGGAUAUGAACUGCAAAAUAAAUUUGUUUUCACCAGUAAAAGAUAUCAAUAUGCAACAUAAAAAAAUUAGUUAUUUUGGUGACAAUUACACAUUACAAAUCUAUCAAUGAAGUGAAUUAUAUUUUCCUUCAAAGUUUAAAUUUAUGGAACUCACAGUUUUCCAGGAUUUGGAAUAAAUAUCCUCAAUUCUCUAACUGUAUUUAGAAACAAGUUAUAAUGCAAAAGAAUUAUCCGUGAUGAAGCAUUGUCAGGCUGUAUUACAGUAGUAAGCAGCUGAUUCCCAGAUUCUGAAUAUGCUUGAGUGAGUAGAACACUCAGUAGAAUGGUACAUUUAGGAAAUCAAGAUUACAAAGAUAAUAAAUUCUGAUCUUGCCGAUGAGUCUAACAGCAAGUCAACAAUGAGUCAAUAACCACUUACUGACGAUUUAAAUCUUCAUUAGCAUCAUGUUUUAAUUUUUCAGUUUAAAAAACACUAAUGUAAAUGAAUUCCAUAAACACACCUCAAUAGGAAGGUUUGUACGCAUAUCUCGUUAACAUAAAAAGGAAGUCGGAUAGUAAUCACACACCCUAAUUACGUGCAUCGAAUGCUAUCAUACUAUUUUCACCUCCGAAAUCAACAAUCUAUAAUAAGCAUGAAUCACAGUUUCACAGAUAUUCUUGACGAUCCACUUAACACGUUAUACCUGAAUUCGAUCAAAAAGAAAAAUCUAAUCCCUAUUUUUGAAUUUUGAAAUCAUCAAACAAAACUCAAAAGUGAUCACAAACACCAUAAUCAGUAUAAAAUUAUAAUUCAUCAAUUCAAAUUACACAGUAAUCAUUCAAAACACAUCAAAACCUAAUUAUGACUUAUAUCAUCAGAAUCAAAAACCGGUUUCAUCACACCUCAAAUCCAAUCUCAUACAGCAAAAUAAACAAUAAAUAACUGAAAUAAUCACAAUAAGAAAAUGAAAUAGCGAAAACACGAAAUUGAAAGUGGAGAGUUUACCUCUAUGCUUAAUUACAUCAUUAGCAACAAAACUAGCUUCGAAAUUGUGUUUAGGAAUAAUCCAAAAGAUUACAGAAACGAAAGCCGCUAAACUGAAAAAGAGAAUGAAUAAACACUUGAAACUGAAAGCUCUUCGAAUGACCGAACACCGUGCACCUUCAUCGUCUUGCCUCUGUUCUUCUUGUUGCACAUGUUCUUCAUCUUUUCCAAUUUUCCCCAUUGCCAAAGCAUCUGGAAUCUCUCUCUCUCUCUCUCUACAACGCGUUGUUAUGAUGUUGUUGUUGCUGGUGGUUAUGCCUCUCUCACUCUUUCUCUCUGUUUCUCUCUCUAAUUAACUACAGUAUUAAAUUUGAUUUAAUUUUAAUUUAUUCACAGUUUCACUUUGCAACUGUAAUAACCUCUCUAUAGUGUGAUUUACGCUGGCAAAUGUAAACACGUAUCACUAAUUUCCUUUUUUUUUUAAUUUUAGGGUUAACUUUUUAGGCUACCGAACGUUGAGGAGAAGCAAAGGUGAAAAAGAAAGAGUACAAGAGUAUAAAGCCGGGAGAAUAUCCUAUUCCCACCCAUCAUGGAUAUAAUUUAAUCAAUGUGUGAUCAUAGUAGAAAUCCCACUAGUAAAGAUUAUAGGAGUGAACAAAGUGAAAUCAACUACUUAUGAUUAAUUAAGAUAAAAUCUUUUUUACAACUAGUUAAGAUACCCGUGUUACAUCACAUGUAGCGCGGAUGUGCUACGUUGCGUGGUGUGCUAUAGAGCUGUCAAAACGGGCGGCCCGGCCCGUUUAGGUCCGGCCCGGCCGGGCCAAGGGAUUUUAAGGGCCGGGUUAAAAAGCCCGGUUUGAAUAUGGGCUGCAAAAAAUGAGCCCGAGCCCGGCCCUAUACGGGCUAACGGGCCGGCCCUGGCCCGUAUUUUUUUCUUCCCUUUUCCAUUCUUUUAAAUACGGAACAUACAUAAAUAUGCCGGGCUAACGGGCUAGCCUGGGCCCGUAUCAGUCUCUCACACACAGACCACAAAAAAAAAACAGUUGUAUUUUUUGCGGGCUUCCGGGCAGCCCGGAGCCCGGACGGGCUAGCCCUAACGGGCCAAGGGCUUUUACGGGCCGGGCUAAAAAGCCCUCUUCAAUUUCGGGCUCCAAUUAUUCGGCCCAAGCCCUACAUUUUAUUCGGGCUUUCGGGCCGGCCCUUACGGCCCGGCCUAUUUUGACAGCUCUAGUGUGCUAUAUACAUUGAAGUUUGAUGGGAUAAUGAUAUUCUUUAGACAAAAUUUGUUUAAUAUUUAAAUUUAUUUUAAAGUAAAUUUAAAUAAAAACUUUACAUGACAAUAGCAUUAAUUGAUUGGAUGAUGGAUACCUACUUUACCAAGUAUUAUUGUGUUCACAUACAAUUAAUUUCCUUAAAAAAAACUGUUAUGAUUAAAUUUGUCAAAAGAAGUAGUUGUGAUUAUUUAUGUGAUUUGUAUCCAAUAGAAAAUUAUGGUAUGCAGAAUAUAUAUAUAUAUAUAUAUAUAUAUAUAUAUAUAUAUAUAUAUAUAUAUAUAUAUUAUACUUGUAAAAAAAAAUUAUGUUAUAUAAAAAAAAUACAUCUAUAUGUUCAAAUUAGAAAAUUAUUUGAAAUAAUUACUAUAUAAGUAAAGAUUAUUAUGAAUAAGUUUAUUGUUUGACUCUGUAUUUUUUCUAAUAAUUUGUUGUUUUAUAUUGAAAUGAAGUAGUUUAAUAUGAAUAUAUUUUCAUAAAUAUUAGACCAGUCAAAUGUUCUGAUCAUAUAUUAGCACUUUUAUUUAAUUGUAACUUUCAAUAGUAUUUAAUAAUAUAUACAUAUAUUUUUUUUUUGAAGGAAUUAUAUAUACAUAUAUAUAAACUAUAUAUACAAAUUAAAAAUAUAUAAUAAAGCAUUGCAUCAAUAAUAUUAUCAACAACAAAUUGACCACCACUAAAACACAACAAAUUGAUCCAAAUUAAAAGAAAUUUAUAUUUGUUAAACAAACAGUCAGCGGUUUAUAUCAAUAACUUAAUAAAAAAAAUAAAAAUAAAAGUAAGAUUUCAUUUGAGGUGAAGUUUAGCAUGGGAAAGACUAAUUUUUCCCACCAUUGGAAAGUUAGUUUUUAACCAUUAGAUCAAACUAAGAACACAUCCUUACCAUACUCCCUCAUCACUAGAUUUUGUAAUUUUAUUAUUUUAAAACCAUUUUUUAAAAACAAAAAAUAUAUUUCGAAAUUAAAAUAAACAUAUGAAAAUAAAAAAUAAACUUAAUUUUGGAAAUUAUUUUUCCAAAUUUUUUUUUUGAGCAAGUUUUUUUCAAAAAACUUAAUUAAAUCUUCGAAAAUCAUAAUUAAAUUUUUUGAAAACAAGUUUAUUUAUAUUUUUUAAAAUUUUGGAAAAUUAAUUUCCAUAUUUUUAAAUUUAUUUUUUAUUUUCAUAUGUUUAUUUUAAUUUCGAAAUAUAUUUUUUGUUUUUAAAAAAUGGUUUUAAAAUAAUAAAAUUACAAAAUCUAGUGAUGAGGGAGUAUGGUAAGGAUGUGUUCUUGGUUUAAUCUAAUGGUUAAAAACUAACUUUCCCAUGGUGGGAAAAAUUAGCCUUUCCCAUGCUAAACUUCACCUUCAUUUGAACCACAUACAAUACAUUUUUGAGUUAGUGUUUUCCAACCGAUAUGAAAAAAAAUAAUCAUAAAAACUUUGAACCAUAUAUUUAUGUGACGUCGGACGUUAAAAAGGGGUAGCAUUUGGGUGACAUUGUGGUUGAUGACAUUGGCCAACCACAAUGUCACAUGUGACUUUCUUCUUUUUUAUUCACUGGAUUUUUUUGUUGUUUUGCACACUUGUAACAUUGUGAUUGGUAAUGUCACCAAUAUCACCAACCAUAAUGUCACCCAAAUAUUAUCCGCUAAAAAGCGUGUCAACAAAACACGUCUCAAUAUUUACUUUACUAUCUGUUAUUCAUUGCCUACUCAAAAAAUUGUAUAUUAUAUCAUUUGAAUACUAUUAAAAUUAGAUCAAAAUGGAAUAGAGGAGUCUAUGAACACUUACCCUUGAUUGAAAUUUUUAUUGAGUGAAAAUAUAUGCCAUACUUUUUGCAGCAUAAUAAUGCUCACAUCGCAAACGUAUUAUUACUGGUGUGUGACCCGUGCUUGACAAUAUAAGUUAGAACAACAUACAAUUGUACUGCGAUGCUUGACAAAGUGUGUAUCGACGACAUACAUUCACAUCUCAAUUUUCGGAUGAAGCACGUCCCAACAAAUACAUUAAUAUUAAUAUCAAAUACUUUGAUAAAUAUUCAAAGUAAUUACUAUUGAAAUUAAUCUUUAAGACAAAAAUAACUACAGAGCUAAUAAAAUUCCGAAAAUAUAUAUACUAUGGCGUUCAACACUUUCAAUAAAGGCAAAUAUUAUAUCUUGAACAUCAAAUCCACAACACUAAGACGUUCUUACCAACGAAAACUAAAACAUUCACAGUACUUAAACAUUUUUAAAAACUUCUCAUACAUAUCAUUGGUAAUUGAGGUCAACGACGUCCAUCGUUAGCAAUAUUUAAAAUCUUCAUGAUUUUGUGUCUGAUGACCAACACAUUCACAGGGGACAAAAUCUUCACCAAAACUUGCAGAGAGAGGAGAUUGAGAAUCAAUAACAAUGUAUUCUUCUUGUACAACCCCACCAUCAACAACAUCAUCCAGAGCUACAUCCGAAUUACCUACGGUCAUUUGUAUCCCUUCAUCAAAAUGAUCCAAAAUAAUUUGUUGAGUUAUUUAUGCCAAAUAAAAAAACAAAUUUGAACUUUCAAUUUAUAGUUUAGAUUUACUUUCAAUUUUAUAAAUUGGUUUUUUUUUUCUUUCCUAAUUUUAGUUUCAAUUUAUUUAAUUAUUUUUUUCCCAAAUAAACACACACCACACACGUAUUUUUCUCCAUCAAGGUAAUUAACAUCAAAACCUAUUAUCUUCUUCUUGUUUCCACUGCCACCACUAUCAUCAUCUUCUCUUAGGGUUCCUUUUUCCUUUUCACACAUUCCAAUCUCUCUAGAUCGACCCAUGAAUCAUUUUGACGUUUUUCCCUAUCUCUAGAUAUAAAGUUUGCAUCUUUAAUCUAAUUUGCUUAAUGGGUCGUUUUCAAAUUUAAUCUAUAUUGCUUCAGAUUGUAUGCAACUGUGUAUUUAAUUGUUUUUUUUUUUUUUUUUUUUUUUUUUAUGUAAAAAAUGGGUUUUUGAAUCUGUGAUUACUUUGGUUUUAUUUGUUUUGUUUAAAUUAUUGAUAAUUGAAAAAAAUGGUGAAAUGGGUGUUCAUGUUGUGUAUGAUUUUCUUCUUUGCAAUCUGUGAAUGAUUUUAUUAUUUGUAAUGAUUUGUUGAAAUCGUUUGGUUUCUAUGACUAAUGGAAUGCAAAUUUGUGUCGAUUAGUGCAUGUCUAGAUUCACAUUAUCUUCUUCCUUUUCUUCAUCUUUCUUGUUUUCCAUUUCACUUUAACUUUUCUUCAAUUUUUGCUCUGAAUCAGUAACUUGAAGAAAAGAUACCGCACAAGAAUUUCCUCAUCAAGGGUGAGUUUAUAUCUUCCUUGAAUCGUUCAGCUAUCUUUAAAAUUGUGAAAACCCCAAUCUCUAUUUUUGAAACCCUAACUUUUCUUCAUUCUUUAAAAUAUGAAUAAUCACAUUGAGAUGAUAGAAUGUAUUGUUGAGUUGAUUUAAAUUUUGAUCUUGCUCAAUUAUGUCUCAACAAGUAAAAAGGACCAACUUUUAAUUUGAAUAUUAACUUUCUCUUCCUUUAGAAUUUAAGAAUAACUUGGUUUGAGUUUGAUUAAUUUUGGUAUUAGCUUAUGAUUCUUGUUGUGCUAUUAGCUUGUUAAGAAAAUAAAAUGAAAAUGUCAUGAUUCUCUUUAGUUGUGUCUAGAAAGGAUUGAGUUAGUUUAAGUUACUUUGGUGUUUCUUGGGAUUGUUUAGUUAUAAGUGAAGAAUUUGAUUUGUAUAGGCUUGAAAUAAAUUUAGAAAUUUGAAAACUUUGAUGCUUUUAUUGGGAUAAAUUCUUAGAAGUAGGAUGGAAAGACAGUAGAGUAUUAUGGCAUGGUUGAGAGUAUUUGGGGAAAUAUAAGUUAGAGGUGAAUCAUAAUAUUUAUUCAAAUUGUAUAUGGAGCUAUCGAGUAAUUGUUUAUUCAAAUUGGUAAUUGCGUAAUUAUUCUAAGGUUUAUUAUACUAUAUUAUGGUGGAUCAUGAUAUUUAGCUUGUGAUGUUGGUGCUCUUGAAAGUUAGAUUUAGAUUAGUUGGAAACUUUGGAGUAUAUAGAGUUAGAAGAGAACAUAAGUUAUAGUGGGAUUUUGUUGAAACUUGAGACCAUGAUGAACCCUAAUAUCCCUUGAAUAGCACAGCGUCACCAUCUCUUCGAAGAUGAGUUUCCUUUUUUCAAUUCAACGGUUAUAUGAGAAUUGGAAUUUAUUUAAUGAUUUAUCUUUGUUUCAGGUUACAUCUAUUUUGUUGAAAGAAAAUGAGCCGUAUCGUGAAUACUCCUGCUCGCGUCAUGUUGAUUUUGGUGGUAAGGUAAAUUUAUUUUGUGAGCUUAAUAUGUAAAAGGAACUUAUAUAUAUAUAUAUAUAUAUAUAUAUAUAUAUAUAUAUA
rnacentral:lncRNA from 1 species